rnacentral:lncRNA from 1 species
GGCCCAGCCCUGUUUCGCCUCUGUUCCGCACCGACCAGCCACCGACUAGCCACCUCCGGCCACCGCCCAACCUCGCCGGACCACCCCCGCGACCCCCUCGCCCUCCGCCGGCUUCCCCUCGCCGCCCUAGCCGCCGGAGCGGCUCCGUUCAGCCCCGACCACCAAGACCCACGGAGUGGGUUUCAGCAUCUUCGGGCUCGCUUUUGGGCCGUUUCCCGGCCCCGAACCCGAGCGGUGCUUUGGGAAGAAUCGUUCCUCGCGUCGCCGCCGUCGGAUUGAUCCGAUUUGCGCGCGAUUUGGUGAGUAAUCUCACUAAUCUUGGAUUAGUUGGCUAAUUAUGCUUUAAGGUUGGUUUAGUUUUAAUUAAUUGUAUUUAGGUUGUUAGAUUAGAAUAAAUUAGCAAUUAUUAGUUAAUUGUGAUGUGAUUUAAAUAAAUUGAUUGUGCAAUUAGCAAGUAGACGUGGUCUACUAAUUGUUGGAAGCAUCUCGGGAAUUUUCCGACCCCUAAUCGGGCUUCAAUUUGAUAAGUCGGGCCUAAGUGGAAUUUUUGGCAUUUAAAUAUUAAUUUUCGAAAUUAAUUAAUUAUUUAUUUAUUUUCCGAAAAUUCAACAGUGAUGGCCAGUGACCGGAAUAUUAUGCUGAUGACCGUGGCAAAGUCCGUUUGUUUAAUCGGGCUUUAUUUUAAGCUAAAUUGAAUUUCUUGUAUUUAAAUAUUAUUUUUUUUGAAAUUAAUUACUUAAUUAUUUAUUUUCCGGAAAUUCAACUCGGAUGGCUAGUGGCCGAAUUUUUAUGCUGAUGAUCGUGGUGCAGCCCGUUUAUUCAAUUGGGCUUUAAUUUGAGCUAAAUUGGAUUUAUUGCAAUUAAUUAUUAAUUUUCGAAAUUAAUUAAGUAUUUAUUUAUUUUUCGGAAAUUAAAGUUGGGUUAGUCGACGACCGAAAUUUCGUGGCGAUCGUCGUGGUGAAGUCCGUUUAUUUAAUGGAGCUUUAUUUUGUGUGGAAUUGAAUUAUUUGCGAAGGUUGGGAAUUAUUCUUUAAUUGGAAAAUCGUUGGUUAUUAAUUGAAAAAUAACCAGGCAUCGGUUGAUAAUGCCAAAUCUAUUUGAGCGGACUACAGAAAAGGUGGGAGUUAUGGAAAGGAAAAUAUUAUAUUUUGGCUAAGGCCAGCCGUGUGGUCACGCACGAUAUUUUAUCGAGUAUUUUUAAUACAAAAACUUAGGCCACGACAUUAUUUGAAUUGAGGAUUUUAAAUGCGCGGUACAAUGUCAUUGGGCCGUGAGGGAUUAAUCGGGUGUUGGCUUAUAGUUGAAGCAAGAUGAUUAUUGGAAGUUGAGGUGAUGUGUGUUGUGUUGAAGGGAACCAAUGGAUCAUGAGCAGGUAAUGGACUAAGUACUACACAAGUAGAAGACUUCGUGUGAGUUACCUCUAGCGCCUUAUACCAUUGCUUAUUGUAGUCAAGGACUAAGUAUUACAUGGCGACCUGAGUCGCAUGGGAAUUACCUCUAGCGCCUUGCAGCAUUGUAAUGCACAGUAAAGGGCUAAGUGCUACGUCUCGUGUGAGUUACCUCUAGCGCCUUAUACUACUGUUUUUGUGGUCAAGGACUAAGUGCUGCACGAUGACGAGACUUCGUGCUGGGGGUCACCUCUAGCGCCUUGAGCCUAUAUUUGAGUGGGGAAUGUUGAAUGGGGAAUGUUGAGAUUAAUUAUCAAGUAUAGAUGAAAUCAUCGUUAUGAUUUGAUUUGUUUGUCCUGGAAUGGACUGUUGAGAUUAAUUAUCAANNNNNNNNNNNNNNNNNNNNNNNNNNNNNNNNNNNNNNNNNNNNNNNNNNNNNNNNNNNNNNNNNNNNNNNNNNNNNNNNNNNNNNNNNNNNNNNNNNNNNNNNNNNNNNNNNNNNNNNNNNNNNNNNNNNNNNNNNNNNNNNNNNNNNNNNNNNNNNNNNNNNNNNNNNNNNNNNNNNNNNNNNNNNNNNNNNNNNNNNNNNNGAUGCUUCGAUCAGCGAAUUAUGAAUUGCUUGGGUGCCUAUUAUGAAUUGUACUGACUUGCAGGUGGGAUCUGAUGCCAAGGUAUGUCUUCUGCCCUGUGCGUGUAUAGGCAGCCUAUAGUAUAGUGGUUUACUAAUCGGGCUUAGUGGGGUAGAACUCGCUGAGACGUAGUCUCAUCCCAGUUUGGGGAAAAACAUUUCAGGACCUGAUAAGGAGCUGAGGAGGAGAAGUCUGGGAAGGAGAUCUUGGAGGUGAAACUUGAAGGGAAGGAUUUUGAAAGAAGAAGAUAAUACCGAGAUGGGCUUUGAGUAUGGCCUGGAUGGAUUGAGAUCUUAUCUUCUUUUGAGAUCUCCAUUUUGAUGUGAAUAGUUAUGAAGUGAUUUGUGUUUUGUAUAAAAGUUUGGUUAUAAAUUUCAAUAUGAAAAAUAUGACCCUGCUUUUCUAUCCCAUUGUUUUAUUGUCUGGGGAUUUAUAACUGCUUCCGCAUGUGCUUAAUAAAAGAAAGGGUCGGCGAUACUAGUCCUGGGAUAUCGCAUUAUAAAAUCGACCAAGAGAGAAGGAUGUGUGCGUGCCCGAGGAUCGGGGCGUGACAAUAGUCCCACAAUCAUGUAUGCUUGAAAGAUGUUGGAUGCAAGUACUUAAUUGUAUGCUAUAGAAAGCGAGUUGAUAUAGCAUUUGAGCUAAACAUGAGUAUGUGAGAAGCACCUGACUAUGUUUAGGCUAAGAUCCGUAUAGUGGAUAUAUUUAAUAAAUGGCAUACGCUCUUGUAGAAAGAGAAAUCCACUAUAGCAUGUAAUUUAUAUUAUAUGUACAUUGUACGACCGACAAGGGAAUGCGAGUAAAAUUAUCCCUAUUUACUCAUCUUGAGAGCCAUUGAGGUCAUUUAUAAUUUACCUCAUUUUGUUCUCCAUGUUACUUCUGACUAUGUUCUCAAAGUAAAAAAUCAAUGUUGCCACUUUAGCAUGUUACCAGCGGUUAUGAAUAGAUAAGGCUUUAUGGGACGUGUCCAGGGAAGCAAUUGUUCUGAAAUGGAGAGAGACAUGAGUGCGAAAGAAGACUAUUGCUGUUUUACAUCUAUCACAUGUAUUUACUGUCGACCAAUUAUAUCGCCUUAUGUGGUUCUGGAUAUAAUUGUAAAUACAUGGUGUUUUUGAGAAUAGUCAAGUAUAACCUUUAAAAGAUAGGUAUAUUUGGAUUGAUGUAACAAAAUAUGUUUGGGGUAUUGUGAGACAUCAAUUGUUUAUUUCUUUUUAGGGUUGUAGCCAUAAUGUCAUCCCUAACAAGUCCAUAAUUUGAGCUCCCAAGUACAGGUGUACUCAUUGGUCGCACAGCUUACUUACCAGUAUGAAUUGUUUUGUAAAGUUGAUGAAUGUUAAAUACCUUAUAUUCUUAACAGAGCACUAUCAAGCCCAUUAUAUCCGAGUGGGAGAUGUUGUAUUUAAUUAGUACGUCCAUGAUGGUUAAAAUGAGAACGCACCGUUAUGUCUUGAUACGCUACAAUGGAAAUAUAUCCGUUGAAAUGGUAUGAAGGAAGUUGUAUAAAAGUCUUUUGAAGAUAACCGUUGGUACGGUUGAUAGAACAUACGCUUGGAAAUUCCUCUCAUUUUUCUUUUCCCCUUUCCAUCAAAAGAAAAAGAAGGCGUUCCAUUUCUCAUUUACAAAAACAAUUGGCAUUUACGUUGUGGAAAUCAAUGUUUUCCUCGUGAUUGCAUUCAUACCAACGUGAAGUAAUUUUGUCCGUGGUUCAUUCGCAAUUCAACGAUCGUUCCGUGUAAAUUGUUGAUUGCGCAUCAGAUAGAGGUAAGUCGUCUUCCACCGACUUCGGGAUAAGUACACUAAUGGUGCCAUAAGUUGUGUACGGUGCUCAUUUUGGUGCCAAAAGUUUCAUCGGAUCAUUUAAGUACAAAAAAAAUUGAAAAACGCUCACUUUGGUGCCAACACCGAUCUGAUUGACCGGAAAUCUGACGUUGCCUUUUUUUAUUAAUUUAUUAUGCUGAUGUGGCUCGCUAGAGUUUCCAUUGGAUCACUUAGGCCUUCAAACGACGUCGUUUUAGCAUCCUAACACCAAAACGACGCCGUUUUGUGUCUUUUCCCCAAAUUCAAAACCCUAAAUCCCCAAAUGACAUCGUUUUAUGUCGUCUUCUUCCCCAAGUAGAUUCGUCUUCUUCCCCGAACAGAUCCAGCAACACUAACAGUGCCGAACCAACAACACCAGCAGCGCAUAACUAGCAACACCAAUAAUUUUCCAGAAAAGAAACCACGCAUUCGCCUCCGCCCUCCCCUAGUAGUUUUCCCCCAUUUUUAAUCACCUUAUCAACCUUUCAAAUCCCCGAAUCUCAGCCCCACCACCGCCUUCUCCCAAGGAAUAUCGUUGGGUGCAAAGGAAACGCGAGCUUGAAGAAUCUCCAGAAGCACAAACGAUUUGGCCAAUGGUAGCCGCGAAGAUUUGGCACGGAGUUGUCACGAAGCAGAAGCCAGCUGCUACAAAGGCGGCGGCCAUGGCCCCGUCAUCCCCUCCUUCGCCCUCAUCGUCGACACCUCCCUCUCUCUCGGGAUUUUCUGUUCGUUUUUUUUUUUCUUCUUUUGUCUUGCUGUGGCAAGCAACUACAAUGGAGGUCAAGGGAUGGUGGCUGAGUGACGGUGGCCGAGGGAUGGCGGCCAAGUGACGGUGGCCGAGGGAUGGCGGCCGAGCGACGGUGGACGAGCAAUGGCGGACAAAAAACCCUAAUUUCAAUCUCCAAAUAAAAUAAAAUAAAAAAACGGCGUUGUUUUUGUGAGGCUAUCCAUGUAAGACGGCAAAACGACAUCGUUUUCUUAAGGAAGACGAAAAACGACGUCGUUUAAAAGGCUUCUCGAUUUUUUUUUUUUAAAUAUAAAAGCCACGUAAUCAUUUUGGCUGGAAUCUGUCGUCGAUGGCACCAAAGUGAUCGUUUUUCCUCCGAUUUGGCACUUAAGUGAUCUGGCGGAAACUUUUGGCACCAAAGUGAGCGCCAUACACAACUUAUGGCACCAUUAGUGUACUUAUUCCACCGACUUCCUUCUAAUAGUUACCACUGAUAAUUGCGGGAUUUUUGUCAAAGUCAAGCGUCAAUAUCUUCAUGUCCUAUUUAACAUUUCAUUUUGUCUCUAAACUUUGGUCAUGCUUUUUCUUUUCUUUACUUCCAAUGUUUCACUAUGAGUCAGUCGUGUUGAUAGUAAGUUCGGAGGAAUUCCAUCCAUAAUCUUUCAUGUCACUCUAAUAAUGGAGGACAUUUGGUCAAUAUAUGAGAAGUGGUGAUUGUGGAUCAAGGAAGUUUCUCCGAAAUGUCACUUGCAUGCAUGCUUCAUUGUUGUUUGAGGUCUUAUGUAUAAGCUACCCCCAAAACUUUUCAUACUAGAAAUGAUUAAAAAUUGCAGUACGCGUGCAUUGCAUGGAAAUGGUCCGAAUUUUUGUGUUAAAUUAAUUUUAAUCAUUACAAAAAAUCUAAACAUUAGUAUCACAAAAAAAUCCAAAAACGAUACAUUUAUGCUAAAUUAAUUUUUGUAUUACAAAAAAACUUAAAUUAAUAUAUUCAUAUCUUAUUUAUCCCAAAUUGACUUUUAUAUAACAAAAAAUCUCAAAGAUUGGUAAUUUGGGAUAAAUUUGGUAUGAGUGUAUCGAUUUGAAAUUUUUUGUGACAUGAAAACACAUUUUAGAUAAAUGUAAUGAAUGUGGAAUUUUCGUGACAUGAGAGUAAAUGUGAGCGUAGAAAAAAAAAACAGAUUCUAUUGUCCGGUUGAGAUGUCAUCCCAUGUAUUGAAGCGUACAUAUAUAAUUGAAUUUAUUAUUAUUUUUCCGCGAAAGCUUUUGGGUCAAAAGCAGCUCCACACCCAACCCUCUCUGCGCCCGAACGCUUUUGCGUCGAGCAAGAUCCAAACAACCACCACCAUCUUCCUCGGCCUGAAAAAUGCCCCAAAUCCUCGAGCACUAAACCCUAAUUUCACUAGCCCCUGCCAACCACCGCCGCUGUGAUAACGACCAGGUCUUCCCUCCCGGUGGUGCAUCACCAGCUCGACCCCUCGUCGUCACCCUCAACAGCAUCGGUCGAGCACGUCCCCCUCAGCCACCACACCAUGGACUCCGCCUCCGCCAUCCUCCUCCGCUCCCUCGCCUUCCUCCCCCGCGCCGCCUCCGCCCCUACCAGCUCGUCCUCUGCCGACCGCGCCAUCGACUCCGCCCUCGCAGCCGAGCCGGGGCUACGCCUCGUCCACGUGGACUCCUCUCGAGCUGAGGAGAUCGCUGAAGAGAAGCCCGGGGCGACUAGGAGGAGGAGCUCUCGAGGCGGAGAGAGAUGAGCGAGAAGGCAGAGAAGAGGGAGAAGGCUUCGUCUCAGAGCGCGGGGAAAAGAAUAUGAUUUCCAUCCAUUUUCUCAUAUUUUUGAAGGAUUUUUCCCGGUUGACGGAAAUUAUUUUUCUUGAUCCAUUUAUUCUCUUCGAGCCAAACAGCGGAAAAUUUUGUUGAUGAAACAAACGAAGCCGUAAUCAUGAAUCCACGUCCAUUAACCGUAAUUUUGUUGUUCUAGUGGGGCAUUACCAACUAUCUUAUUCUAAAUUCUCACAAUAGUAUUCAAUUUGCCUAGUCUGCAAAAUUUUCUAGAGGCAACUCUACGGUAUUUCCAGACUAAAAUACAAUACGCUAUAACGGGCAUUGAAUCUUCUUUCUUUCAUUUUUCCUGAAAGAAGUUAACCGUAAUUUAGCAGCUCCCUUCACUAACUUUCCUCUAACCUAAUGUCUUUAAGAGUCUCUCGAGAAAACCAUAUCAAGGGUUUAAAAUGUCGUUGCUUUCAACCCCAAGCCACAAACGUGGGAUCCCUCCCUUUCAACAGAUGCAUGGAAACCGCUCCAUCUAUGAGGACAGUAAUCAAGUAAAAACCAGUGCGCCAGUAAUUUGGUCCUCAAAUUCAAUCCCUUUCUUAGCCCAUGGCAUGUUAGAACUAAAAUGACAAACAUAUAUAAAACCAGUAGUACACGGAUGUGUGCAUUACACCAACAAGCAUAGUGCUCAUACUUCGAUUUAGAAACUCAUAAUAAACAUGACAACUCAAACUCGAGGUAAAUAGGAAGUCUCCGUGGCUAAAGCCUUGAACGUCAAAUCCCAAAAGGUUGUCCAGUAGCAAGUGGAGCUUGAUCAGCAGCCGCAAGAUUCGAGCCCUCCAAUAAUUGUUCCAAAUUAUACUGAUAGUCUUCAGUAUCUGAAAAGCAAUACAGAUAAUAUUAGAAUGAGACCACACUUCACACACCAUGAUUGCUAAUUUCUCAUGAACCAUAGAUGAAUAUUCAAUGAAUGUUACACUACUAAUGAAGCCAUCACUAUGUCCACUAGUGAAUUUUCGAAAUUUUAGUAUGCAUUGGCCAUGGAAAUUACACUUUGAUCAGUCCUUACCAUCAUAUAAGUGAGAUAAUUCAACUGCUGCAGACAAAUAAUCAGAAGUAAUAUCUUAGAAAACACCCAUAUAACUCUCUUUGUAUGCAGUUACAACAUUUGCUAAGUUGACUAGACCCAAUCAAACCCCCAAAAAGAGCUUACCAGUGUGACAAAAUUGAGUCAAGUAUCAUACUUGACAUGCCAAAUGAUUGAUAAUAGCAGAUAUCACAAAAAUAUCCCUCUUUUAAACUCAUUAAAUGGGUUCCUAAUGUGGUCAGGUGUUGAGUGUUUUUUUGGCACUCUCUCUAUCGGCAGAAAAAAGAGAGAAAAAGGACAAACUGCUUUCCUUAAGGAGAAGAAAUGAGCUAAUGCAAUUCCUACUCUUCCAUACACAAGCACGAAUCUGUCCGCUGAAAAAGGAUUGCGACAGAAACCAAAGCUGUAGAGUUGAUAACGUUCUCCCUUCACUCCAGCAAAUUAUGCUCUCACCACAUUCAUUAUCGCGGCCAAUAGUAAUUCUGCCGAUUUCCAGUAUAGAAGUCCCAAACUUUCUUCUCAAUUUUUUCACAAGACAGUAUAGACAAUACCAUAACACAACACAAUCGACUACAUUACAGGGAGAAAAUUCAACUUACUGGAAGCUAGGAAGUUUGAUGAUGGCCCGUAGAGUUGUUCGUAUAGCUGUACAUUUGUAUUUUCUGAAGGCUCCUUUUGGUUCGAACUGGAAGUAAUUUGGUUCCACGUGGCAUUUUGGGAAUUGAGACUCUGUACUUGUAAUGGCAAUCCAGCUGAAGUAAUACCACUGUUUCCUGGAGAGAGAGAAAGAGAUUGAACUAUCAGAAUUUUGUCGCAAAUAGACAUGGAUAUGAGCUAUUUAAGUAAUAAAAACAAUUUCUUGGUAUUUUCUACUUCUAUGACGUGGUAACAAAGCCUUAGAGGUGAUAGUGUUGUCUGCUUUCAUGCCAGCAAGUCAUACUCUCACCCAUUCAUCAACAUGGCGAAUACUGACUCUGCAUAUUUUCAUAUAGAAGUCCCAAUUUCCACAAGACUGGAUAAAACAAUACCGUGCCGCAAAGAAAUCAACAUUAGAAGGGGAAAAUUCAACUUAUUGAAACCUGGGAAACUUCCGUAUGUAUAUGCUGAAGGCUCCAUUUGGUUCAAACCACCAAUAAUCGGGUUCCACGUGGCAGGUCGGGAAUUGAGACUUUGUGGUUGUAUUGGCAAUCGAGCAGCAGUGCUACCACUGUUGCCUGUGGAGAGAAAGAGGGGAGGGAGAGAGAGAUUUAAACGGUCAGCAUUUUGAUGCAUAUAGACGAUCUGAGCUAUUAAAGAAUUCAAAAAUAGGUCCUGAAAUACGUAUGAAGAACCAAUAAUUAUGACAUUACGACUAAAUUCCCUUCUCGAAGACGCAUCAUAUAUCGAUUUCGAUAAAAUUGAUUGAGGCCCUGAAAUACACCUCAAGAAAGCCAAAUAAUCAGAACAUUGCGAUUAUGUGCUUCAUGAGUAAUGAUAAUAGUCACCGAUGCUCCUCCCUUGUAAAAUAUUUUGGCAUAUUCUUGUUUGACUCCAUGCCACUAAUGGAACCGUUGAUUUCAAUCACCUCCAAAGCCAUAUCAUCAUCAUCGGGAUUCUUGUAAUACUCACAAAGGGUGUACCAUCGUUCGAGUUGAGUGCUGAGUGUUUUUAAACUCAUUAAAUGGGUUCCUAGUGUGGUCAAGUGUUGAGUGUUUUUUUGGCACUCUCUCUAUGGUUGCUCUUUGUGCAUUUCUUGGCAGAAAAAAAGAAAGAAAAAGGACAAAACUGCUUUCCUUAAGGAGAAGAAUUGAGCUGAUGCAAUUCCUACACUUCAUUACACAAGCAUGAAUCUGUCCAAUGAAAUAGGAUCAUAACCCUACGCCAAAGCCAAAGAGGUGAUAACAAUCUACUUUUGUUCCAGCAAGUUAUAUUCACACCACAUAUAUCAUCACAAAGAAAAUUCAUUCUGCAUAUUUUUAGUGUGGAAGUCCCAAUCUUUGUUCUCAAUUUUUCCACAAGACAGGAAAAACAAUAUUAUGCCGCGAAGAAAUUGACUUUGGAUGGAGAAAUUUCAACGUACUUAAAGCUGGGAAGCCUGAUGUUGACCCGUAUCCUAAUGGCUGAACAUUUGUAUCUGCCGAAGGCUCCAUUUGGUUCAACGUGGCAUUUUGGGGAUUGAGACUUUGUGAUUGUAUUAGCAAUUGAGCAGCAGUAAUGCCCCGAUUUCCUGGAGAGAGAUUAAAAAUAAAUUAGUAUCCGAUUGAUGAAGCCCAUAAUAGAAAUGUGGCAAGCCAGGAAAGGCAAGUCUCCUAGGUGUGGGAUCAACAUGGAGUCCAUAAGUUCCUAAUGUCGUGAUCAAUACAGACAGUUCAGCUAAAUAGAUUUUGGUCCCAAAACCCAUCUGAAGAACCAAUAAUUAGGACAUUGCAAUCACAUACUUCAUGAGAAACGAGAAUAGACAACAAUGCUCCUCCCUCGUAAAAUAUUUCAUCAUAUUCUUGACUGACUGUAUGCUUCUUAUGGAACAGUUGAUUUUAACCACCUCCAAACCCAUAUCAUUGGAAGCCAGUAUAUUUCCCUCCCAAAGAUGUACGCUACUGUGAAAGGUUUUAGUUGCAACAAAACUUUGAUGAUCUAAAAUCACCAAAAAAAAAAAAAAGUGGCUACAUCUCAGCUAGUGUUUAAUUAUAGGCAACUUUUUCUUUUCCUCACAGCCAAUUAGAGCACAUACCUUCCACUGUGGAUGCUGAAGUUCUAGGAGGUACUUUCAAACUAACAUGACCGCCCAGUCUCGGUGGAGGCAUAUUGUUGUGAGCUGGAUGGAGGCAUUGUUGAUCUCCUACAACUUCACGCGGAAAAGAACACGAGAUCUUCUCCAACAUGGAACUUGAAGAAGCCUCAGCUUCGUGUGGUGAGACAUCAUUCCAAUUCUCAUAGGCCUUUUUCACCAAUUUAUCUGCACAGACCUGGAAGACUCGAAAGUUACUACUUCCUCAACCAGUCACUUUAUCAGGGUUAUCUUACACCCUAGGCGACUCAAAUAAUUCAGGCUGGACUCAUAUGGAUAUCAAAGGCACUAAGAAGAUGUGUCUAAUACGUUCCCUUUUUUUCUCAGACAGAUCAAACAAGGUAGGAAGAUGCAAAGUUGGUGGUCAAAAUACCAAUAAGGAAAAUCAUGGACAUCAAGCUCACAGAAUUUGAUGAAAGCAACAAAAAGCAUCUCGACUCGAAAGUACCAUAACAUGGUGAAUGAGUCAAAAACUUAGAACUCUGUAUGAGCAUACAGUGCUCCUAAGCUGCUAACUGCACUCCUCAUGUUGGGGACAGUGGUUGUGGCCCCACAGAGGGUGCUUCUGGUGAUGUCUUCUCAAGGGGUGAGAGUAAAAGAAGAGGGCAGCCUUUGGAGGAGUUUGAAUUGGAUGUGGAUGGAGAUUCAUUGCUCUUGCUGCUGAUGGGGGUUGAUGAGGCAAGAUUCUCUUAUUAUCAGUUACACUGUUGAAUCGUUUUGAGGUAAACAAUGAGGAGGAUGUCUCCUUUUGGGUACUUAACAAUAUCAAGGCUGUUGGCCAGAUCCUUGGAGUCUCCUUGCGAGUGUUCCAAGAUACAGCCAUGAGUCUUUUCGGGGAGCUUGAGAAUGGAAAUGAUGGCCCUGAGCAUUUUAAGUCCUUGAAAAAAAUCAACGAAUUGAAACGCCUUCAGUAAUCCACCAAUAAUGAUAAAACUCCCGACAGAAAAAGGAGGUUGUGAGUGGUAGCAGUGGAAAGGACUCUUCGUUGUUUAUAUAAAGGUCAAUAUUAGGUCUUGGAUUGUCAGGGGGCUGAAUGAUGGAGACAAGAGAAUGGUGAUAAAAGUUUUAAGGGGAGACGGGACAUAGUGUCAUUAGGAGACUAAAAUGGAAGAUUGUCAGCUGGAUGUUGCCAGGAAAACUCUAUUCUGAGACUUCGGUAUAAUGGAAAGUUAUAUGUGCAUGCAAAUGCUUUAAAUGACAUUGUAGAUGAUUUGUAUUGUAAAUGAGCUCUUUUGGUGCUAAGCUUUUCUCUACAUGGCUUUGCCCCCCUUUUGUGCCCAUUUUCUUUUACCUAUAAAAAGAAAAUAGAAAAUUAUCAUCAGAGAAACUCUAUUUUGUGUUUGUUUUUGCUUUUCCCCUGGCAUUUGCAAAGCUGAUUAAAACAGCUUAGCAUCAGAGACACCCCCUUAGGAACUCGAAAUUGCAAUCAUCAACAGAAAAUAAACACUUUUUCUAAUUCAACAUAAAUGAAUGCACCAAAUUUUUAGAAACAGCUAUCUGAUUAACUAUCAUGCCUACGCUAUAUUGACAAUGUAGGUAAAAUUUUAACUGAUAAUCUGAGGUCAGGGGGUGUCCCUUGCAGAUUGCAUGGCAAAUACCAGAAAAGGAAAAUUUUCCCAGUUACCUUCUGCUCGGGAGAAAAUAUGUUGGCAGCAUAAUACAUCCCGCCCGCAGUUAGGCCUCUGACUUGACCAACGCUGUUGAAUAUAACACCGUGAUCAUUUCCAUUAUCUUGAUAGUACACAUAGACUUUCCCAUUCGGAGUGCAAGUUUUUGCAUGAUCUAGGAGGGCUUUCCACUGCUUCUCUGUCGUGCCAAUAAUCUGCAAUGAACAAACACGUCAUUACUCUUCUUGGUUUAGGGAGUUCAAUCCAAAUUGAGAACCCUGCAAAAUCUCACAUUUCUCAGUUUCUCAGAAUCCAAGUAGAGUCGUCGUAGAAACUGUUCCACGUUAUGUAUUCCUUCUGCAAUCAGCCGAUUGUAAAAUGGUCCAUCCUUUGCGAUACUUUUCAAUCUCCAGACCUCAUCGUCAGGUGCUGGUGGAUAGUGUUUCUUGUAUGCUGUAAAGCAAAUAGAAGAUGAAAAUUGCAGUAACGCUAAGAUCAAUAGGCCAAACAAAGCUUCUUGUGCAACUAAAAACUCUCUAAGCUAUUAUGUGAAGGACUGAGACAGAUUAGCUAAGGAAGCCCUUAUUCCAGUUUCAUUCAGGCUCCGUUCGUUUCGCGGAAAAUACCAUGUUUCCGGAAAAUAUUUUCCUAGAAGUCAUUUUCCAGGAAAAUGACUCUAUUUUCCGGUGUUCGGCCAAAAUCUAAAAUUUCAAUGGAAAAUAUUUUCCACCGUUCGUUAGCUCAUUUAACUAUUUGGGAAAAUUUAUCAAAAAUUGAAUUUUAAUAUUUUUAAAUGACCAAAAAAAUUAUUUUAUUUAUUUAUAUGUUAUUAAAAUGAUUUUUUAAUUAUUUAUAUUUUUAAAAUCGAAAUUUUUUUUUUAUUUUUUUUUAUUUUCCUUCCUCCUUCCUCCUCCUCCUUCUUCCUCCUUCCUCUGCCGUCGCCUCCUUCCUCCUCCUUCUUCCUCCUCCUUCCGCCGCCGCCACCUCCUUCCUGCCUGACGAUGGCCGGCUGCCCAGCGGCCGACCAAGACCCGGUGGCCAGAUCCAGCGAGCUCGAGGCUCGGCCGAUCUCACCCGAGCUCACCGGAUCUGGCCACAGAGCUCGAGCUCGCCUGGAUCGGCGAGCCGCGAGCUCCGCCGCCGCGGUGCUCCCUCUUGAGCCGAAUCCUCUCGAGCGGCUUCGAACCGCCGAGGAAGCGGAGCGCCGCGGCGGCGGCGGCGUCGCGGCCGGAGCAGGUGGGCAGGAGCGGCCGGGGAGGGCGGAGAAUGAGGGAUGCUUCGCCCAUCGUCGGCGUCAAAGGAGGAGGAGGAGAUCAGAAACCCUAAGCGAGAGUGCAAAAAUGAGAAGAAAAAAAGGAGAGCGAGGGUGAGCGUGAGAGGCCAGGAAAAUGUUUUCCUCUAAGAGGAUUUUUCUCAAAGUCAAGAGAGAAUUUUCCGUUGACCAGAAAAUGUUUUCCUUGACCAUGAAUUUUCCGUCCACCGAACACCGGAAAUCCAGGAAAAUAUUUUUCUGGAAGUUAUUUUCCGUGAAACGAACGGAGCAUCAGUUUUUAGUGAGAUUUUCCUAUCUUUGGCAAUAUUCUUCAACCACCAGACUUCAGCAUCCGAUACAGGCGGAUGAUUUUUUUGUAUCCUGCAAAAUGAAGUGAAGAAAGUCAGUAAGGUCUCAGUCGCUAUUAGAUUAAUGAGUAGCAGCAAACAUAGAUAGGCAUGCAAACCUCUUCUGAAAAGGAUCCAAAGUGUCAACAUCUAGAUAAGAUCUCCACGACCCUGACACUUUAUCGCCUAAAGAACUUAAUCGCUAGCGAUACAGAUAACUAGCUAUUGGGUGAUUGACCCUCUACUGGGUCAAUUUUUUUUUUUUUUUGGUGACUAGGAUGUCAAUUUUUUCUAUAACGAUUUUCAACUUUCUUACAAUAGCCUCAAAAAAUUUCAAUUACUCCCUGAGUCGUAACAGUCCGUAUGAAAUGAAGUUCUUGAGCGGCCAUGUCCACGAGCUCUAUGAAUCGGCGGGGGUGGUGGCACCAUUGUGGAAGUGGCGGCGGCAAUGCAGAUGAACCUUCUGGUGGUGUAUGUAGAUUUUUUAACCCUGUUUUAUUCUUAUCCUUUUUUUCUCUUUUUUUAAUUUUUAAUUUUUUCUUUUUUCCUUUUAAACUUUCAAGUUUAUUUCUGAUGCGGCGCUUGCUUUUAAGAUUGAAAAAAUAAAAAUAAAAAUAAAAAUAAAAAUAAAAAUAAAAAUAAAAAUAAAAAUAAAAUUACUUCGGCCUUUUUCAUUAGACAAAUUGAAUGGAGCCAAUACAGGGACUUGACUAUACCAAUUUAACAAGUUUUAUGAUUUGAUUGCACAUUUUGAAAAGUGUUGUGUCAAUUUAACAAGUUUUAUAAUUUGAUUGUACAUUUUGAAAAGUAUGGAGUCCAAAACCAUUUUAUGUGAUACUGUAAAAAUUAUACAUACCUUGUCCCCUACAUUCCUUGACAGAGAAGGCAUCUGUUUUUGCUUCUCGGAUUCGUGUAUUCUUACCAUAACCCGAUGCCACUUUGAGCCCUAUCCUGAAUCUUUUGCUCCUAUUCCAGCUGGAAUUGUCGGUAAAUAUCAUAUCUCCCAGCUCCCCAACACCUGCCUUGAGCUUUACUUGGAGAUUUCCUGUCAAAAGCGGCCUCUUUCCUUCUCGUUCUUUAACCACGUAGCUAUCAAACUCUUCUGGAGCCCAAUUUUCCUCAUCGUCUCUGUUGAAGUCACCUUCAAGCACAACGACGUCCAACUUGAUGGAGGCUUCUGGCCCUAACGUAACGACAUCCCCUGUAUCCGCAUUGAUCAACGCAACGGAAAUGCGAGCACCACCCUCUCCUUCUAGUUUCUUUUCAGUAAAUAGAGGAAGUGAAAGUUUGUUUCGAAGUUGAAGCCGUAGGUUUCUUGCGUCAUUCUUCGCCGUAGAUUUACCAAUAACCCUGCAUUCUCUCGAGAGAACAACCAUUAGAAAUAGGAACGGGUACAUAAGCGGGAAAUUGGAAAAGUAGCUACAAAGAGAGACAAACUACCAACAAGGUAUGUGCAUUUGUACCUUGCAAGGUGGGGAGAGUGAAUGUUUGCAAGCUCCAUUGCUUCUGUGUGGCAAAUAAAACCAACAGCAGAAUUGCCAAAGUUGGAGACCUUUCAAAAGAAAGUGAAUCAGAAGGGAUAUGUCUGAGAAAAGUGUAAUUUCAAUGAACUUUGUUUAUCUUACCGGUUUUUGAACAGCAUUCUCUGUUGAGCAUACCUGUUGUACUACAUCUUUGAGAGCAUCCCCAAUGCAACUACACCAUAAAAAACUGACACCUUGAACAACGGCUGUCUUGUGGACUUAUUUGCAACAAAUAGACAAAUAUCCAUAAGUAACAUUUUAGUUACUACUUCAUACGAAUGUCAGACUUGAUUACAGUAUAAAAAGAUGGAUACCAGUCUACCAGACUCAUCAAAUGCAUUCCUUUAAUGUAACGCAACAUAGAAAAGUCAACGCAAGUAAAGUUUAAUUAGCAGCCAUCUCCAAAUGCAACGUCCUUUCAGUGAUUUAAAAAAUAAUGUAUGUGCAGGUAUUACACUUUGCUGAACAGAAUCAUGGACCGAUGGCUUAUGAUACUCCAUGAUAAUUCUACUUGACAAGACAAUACACAUGGAAAUUCUCCUAGAAGAAUCAGUUGAUGCAGAUGAGCUAUAGCUAACAAACCAAAUAAAAUUUAUUCACCUUCGACCGUAUUUGGCCAAGUCAGAUUUAGCACGCUCCAGCUCUUCCCUGACCUGUUCAGCAAAGAGCAAUGUCAAAGAAUUACAUUGCAAUCUGCCACGUCUUCAUCUCAUACAAGUUUCACAUCACUGGUAUCUUCAUUGUUCUCCUUCGACAUGCAAGUUGUCUUUUUUUUUUUUUGGUAAAGAUCGACAUGCAAGUUGUCAUUGACCACAUUUUCCAAGAUUCAAGGAAAAAAUUAUGUCCAAGCCACUUCAUUGAAAAUCUGGAUCUUUUUGUGAUCCAUACUGUCCGAAACAACAUGAAAAGCACGUUCUUAGUGGAAUUGCUUCACUGGAAAAGCCUAGAACAGUCAGCAGGUCAUUUUUACCACUCGAACGAUAAUUUUCUACACAUCUCGCAGCAAUUUCUCAUGCGGAUUUCUAUCCGGAAACUGACUGGAAGGUCAGAAAUGCAUCCAACCGCUCCUAGUUGAAGAGAUCAGCAAUUGAAGUACAAUAAAGACUGCAUUUUGUAUGUCCAAGUUGGCUACUUUACUCAUCUUACCACUCUCCGGACAUCUUCCUCUGUCAACCAGCUCCUCGGCACAAGAUUUCUCCCGGACCAACGCCAUGUUUGACUGCGUGAAGAUCAGGUCAGCACAAAAGUACAAUCAAGAUGGUACAAUUUGGCAAACAGGACAGCAAAGUAACCCAGUAACAAUAACAACUCACUGGCUAUGUAAAAGUUUCCCAGAAAGUUUAAUUCGAAUCAGGAGGAAAUAAUGCGAUUGGCCCAGGCCGAAAUCGCAAAACAGAGUCGAGAUGGCAACAUUGGGGGUCUUUAUGCUUCGUAUCUAAUCCACAGCACAAUCCCACGAACAAAAAGCAGAACGAAAGCGAUUUAGCACCGUCACGAGGCAAAAGCUAAUCAAUGUUAUGCUUCCUUUGCCAUAUAUCCUUGUUCGGGAAAACCACCAAAAAAAUCAUAAGAUAUAUUAUACUAAUUUAGUCAUAAUUUUUUUUUUAUCAAUUAAGUCAUCAAUAUUUUACAUGCCUAAUCAGUUUAUCUGGUCAAAAUUGGCCUAUCGGCGGUCACGGUGCGAACUUUUCGGCGACCUUUUUCUAAGAAUAUUUUAUUUUUUGAAAUAUCUUAUUAAUUUUUUCUUUUUCUUUUUCUCCCUCUCCCUCCUUCUUCCCUCCUCCCUCCUUCUUCCUUUGACUCCAGCGACUGGCCAAGCUGGCCGGUCGCCGGACUGAGGCGGCCGGGCGAGCUCAGUCCCCGCGGCAUACUGUGAUAGGCUUCUGUACUGUNNNNNNNNNNNNNNNNNNNNNNNNNNNNNNNNNNNNNNNNNNNNNNNNNNNNNNNNNNNNNNNNNNNNNNNNNNNNNNNNNNNNNNNNNNNNNNNNNNNNAUUCCGUGCUACAUGUGUUCCCCUUUGAUCAGCGGCUAAUCCUUCCUAGUUCUUAAGAGCUCCACAAAGCAAAGAAAUCAUGUCGACGCAAAAGAGAGCUUGCCUUCCACUUCUUCAGGUAAAGCAAGUCUACUCAAGAGGCCACGCAGCGCUCGAAUGAAGUAAGUUCACUCUUCUCUCUCAACAUUUCGAUGCUUGAUCGAUUAUUUUAUGAUCGUGUUCGUUUUAGCUUGAUUUGAGGGAUUUUUUUUUAAUAAUAUUUUUUUGAAUUAUUUUAUUAAUUUUUAUCCUUUUAUACUUUUUUUUUUCUUCUCACUCUUUUCUCCCUCUCCCUCCUUCCUCCUUCUUCCUUUGGCUCCGGCGACCGGUCAAGCCUCCCCUCUGGCCCGUCGCCGGAGCCAAAGGAAGAAGGAGGAAGGAGGGAGAGGGAGAAAAGAGUGAGAAGAAAAAAAAAAGUAUAAAAGGAUAAAAAUUAAUAAAAUAAUUCAAAAAAAUAUUAUUAAAAAAAAAUCCCUCAAAUAAAGCUAAAACGAACACGAUCAUAAAAUAAUCGAUCAAGCAUCGAAAUGUUGAGAGGGAAGAGUGAACUUACUUCAUUCGAGCGCUGCGUGGCCUCUUGAGUAGACUUGCUUUACCUGAAGAAGUGGAAGGCAAAGCUCUCUUUUGCGUCGACAUGAUUUUCUUUGCUUUUGUGGAGCUCAUCAAGAACUUGGAAGGAUUUGGCUGCUGAUCAAACGGGAACAAAUGUAGCACAGAAAUGAAGGAGACGAUCAACAGUUUAUGUAAGAACUCAAGCUCAAAUUCAAAGUAAUGAGUUUGUAGUCAUCGGGGUGUGAUUUAUAAUGUCCUCUCCGGAGUAGGUACAUCUUUUCUGAGAAAAGUGCAGUACAUUUCCGGGAAAGGGUGCCGGUUUUUUAAUUACCCUCUUUUUUCCUUAGAUUCCGGCAAUUUGCCCCCUCAACCUUAUGAAGCUGCCCGUGCAAUUCCUUUUUGACCCGAUCUUUGAUCCAAUCGGUAUAUACUCCAAUAUCUUGAGCAAGUGAAAAAAAAAAUCAAUUAAAGGAUAAAUAUACUGAAAAUUUUAAAAAUUGUCACAAAAGUAUAAUUAAGUCUUAAAACUUAAAAAAAUAAUUCGAUCAAAUCUUAAAAUUUGUCAAAUUUAUGCUAUCAAAUUCUUUCAUUAACUCAAUUCAACUUAAUAAACCAAAAAUGUUAACAAGUUUUAGGAUUUGAUUAAAUUUUUUGAAAAUCUGAGAAUUCAAUUCCACUUUUGUGACAAAUUUUAUCACUUCCAAUACAUUGUCCCUUUAAUUGAUUAUUGCUAAUUACACGUGACUAUUAUGCAUAAAUGGUAACAACUAUCGAAUGUGUGUUAUAGUUAUCUAUUGGGAAAAUAUGUACGCAUUCGAGGAAUGAUGGAGGCAAAUUAAUAUGGCUCUUCUUCCGAUUGAUGAUGCCAAAAUGAUUUAUUGAUGAACAUUGGGUUUGAUUGCCGGCUUGAGAAUUUUUCCUUUUUCUUGUCUUUAAUUUUGCUAGAUUGUCCCCUUAACCUUAUGAGCUAUGAAGCUGUAUGUACUUCUUUUUUCUUUUUCUUUUUUAUUAUUUCUGCUUUUGCCUAUUAAAUAACUGAGCUAUUUUUGCAAACAACAUACCAAGGUAAAUCUUCUCAACCUGUUCUUUAAUCAAUGGGUCACAUGCUCGAAUAUCGAUUAUCAUCUAGGUGUAGCUUUUGUGCAAGCACCAUAAAAUUCCAGUUAAUCGCGCAGCUUCUAAACGGUGCAAACGGGCCUGGAAAAAUGCCUUCAGUUGACUUUUUACGGAUACCACACCAUAUAUAAUUCUUCUCUUGGCUCGUUCGCAUUCCAUUUGAUGAAGAAAUUGAUGCUUCAUUUGUUUUACAGUUUUUCCUUAAAUAAUCGCCAUAACUUUGGUCUUUUUUUUUCCUACUUCUAACGUUUCACUAUAAGUAAGCCGUAUUGGAAAAAAUUAGAAAUGUAAUUGCCAUAUGAGGUCUCAUUUUCGUUCGGAGGAAUUCCGUCCAUAAUCUUUCAAGUUACUCCAAUAGUGGAGGACAUUUGGUCAAUAUAUGAGAAAUGGUGGUUGAGGAUCAUAGGAAGGUUCUGGGAAACGUUACCUGCAUGCAUGCUUCAUUGUAGUUGGAGGAUUUAUGUCGGCCACUAUGUUUAAAAGCUCAAAAGCGCUUGGAAAUAAGCUUCCUCCCAAAAUAAGAUUAUGUCAGUUGAAUUUUUGUUUUUUCUUCUCUCUAACUUUACUAAUUUGCCACCACCCGCCGCAGUGGCUCAACUGGGUAAGCGCUAGACUUCCAUCGAGGAGGUCUAGUGUUCGAAGCUCCUGCAAUGUUACAGGAAUGCUAGCUUUGAGACUCUUGGCGACUUACCCGGUAGCACGUGUGUGGUGGCUAGCACGUGUCGCCCCCAGUGGUUUACCUCCAGCUGCUGGCCGUGCGAGGUUCCCUGGGUCACCAAAAAAAAAAAAAAACUUUACUAAUUUGCCCUCUUAACCUUAUCAGUUAUGAAGCUGCGUGUACUUUUUCUUUUUUCUUUUUUUCCUACAUUUGCCUAUUAAACAAUUGAGCUACUUUUCCCUUCAACGUUCACGGUAAAUCUUCAAUGGUCACAUGCUCGACUAUCGAUUAUCAUCUAGGUGCCGAGCGACAUAAUAUUUCGAAUAAUCACUUCUAAUCUAGCGUAGCUAUAACUCAUAAAUUAUAACGAUGAAAGAAUGUGUUUUGUGGUUAUCUGUUAAGAAAAUGUAUGUACUACAAAUUGGUUCAAGGAAUGUUAGAGGCUAAUUAGUAUGCCUCUUCAUCAAAUUGAUGAUGUCAAAAUGAUUUAUUGUUUCUUGAUUUCGUCAUAAGGUUGUUGUUUUCCCAAGGUUUAGAAUGCCACAUGUAUCUUAUGCGGUUAAAAUCAUAUUGAUUAUGAGAACUCGCUAGUUUUCUUACUUGUGUUUUGCACGACGUUUCUUUGCAAAGAGAUGAGUGAUUCUUGAUGUAUCAUUUUCAUAGGAACUCUCAAUCUUAUAUAAUAUUUCAACUACUUGAACAAAAAUCUUUAAUGCAAACUAUAAAUUUUAUUGUUAUCAUUAUAAUUUUUGCAUUGAUUCCAUGGCCAAGUGAAAUUAAUUUCUCGUGCAAAUUAAAAGAAAAUACUGAAAAUAUGACAUUUGGCUGCCUGAUACAUGACUUUAUUCAUUAUAAUCCCCAAGUGUUGAUCUCAUCAUCAUUUCAUAAAUCAUUCUGAUUAAACUUUAUUAAAAUGAUCCAUCAUCAAUAAUGUCACUUUCAAACGGUACAAGUGGUGAUGGAAAAUUGCCUUCGGUGCACCGUAUGUUGAUUCUUCCAUUGGCUCUUUCACAUUCUACUUGACGAAGAAAUUAGUAAAUCAUGUGAUCACUGCUCUCUCUCUCUCUCUCUCUCUCUCUCUCUCUCUCUCUCUCCCCCCCCCCUUCUUCUUUAUUUUUGUACUUCUAUUAAAGUCUUUUUCAUCAAGUUUAAGUAAAAGGGAUUAGGUGAUUGAGAAUUAAAAAUUAAAUCAAGCAUAUGUUACGUGUUGUUACCACUGAUAAUUGCGGGAUUUUGUCAUAAACGAGUGUCAAUAUCUUCAUGUCCAAUUUAAUGUUUCAUUUUGUCUCUAAACUUUGGUCAUGUUUUUUUCUCUUUACUUCCAACGUUUCACUAUAAGUCAGUCGUGUGGAUAGUAAGUUCGGAGGAAUUCCAUCCAUAAUCUUUCAUGUCACUCUAAUAAUGGAGGACACUUGGUCAAUGUAUGGGAAGUGGUGGUUGUGGAUCAAGGAAGUUUCUCUGAAAUGUCACUUGCGUGCAUGCUUCAUUGUUGUUUGAGGACUUAUGUUGACCAAGCUGAAAAGCGCGUGGAUCUUGUUUAAAAAUAAGCUACCUCCCAAAACCUUUCAUGCUAGUAAUGAUUAAAAUUGCAGUGCGCCUGCAUUGCAUGGAAAUGAUCCAAUUUUUUUUUUUUUUUUUGCAGACCUCGAUUGAGGAGCCGUGACCCCAAUAGUGGAACAACGAGGAGGAUCUCCGUGGCCCCAAUAAUGGCCCCAAUAAUGGAUCGACAAGGAGGAUGUUGCAGACCUCGAUCAAGGAGCUGUGGCCCCAAUGGUGGGAUGAAACAUUCGCAAUUAGUAAAUUGAAUGGGUUCUCUAGAGGGUUUGCCAUUGGGGGGGGGGGGGGGGGGGAGAGAGAAGUUAUUACUGGCAUUACUCCUACAAUAAAUAAGAAUGCAAACUGAAAUUACUCCUCGGAUAAAUUUGGCUAUGAACUGCGAUGAUGUUGUCGAGAAGACUGACUUGAAGAUAAUAGUGGGGGACAUUUGGUCAGGAUAUGAGAAGUGGUUGCUGUGGAUCAUUCUUUUGAUACUAGUAAUGAUCACGCGUGCAUUUCACGUGAAUGGAAUUUGUACAAGAAAUUUUUUAUCGCAUGAGGAAGUUGACUACGCUCGAAUUUUUAGGCGUCGUGAAUCCAUAAAAUGUUGAAGCAACCAAUCUAUCUUUCAUGUCCAGAUCACCUAGCUUAAGGCCCACCCUCUUAAUUUCUCACAUAAUAUAAUUUGUCCAAAUUAGUAAUGCCACACUUCGAGUUGUUGCUUAAAUCUCUACCGUUCAUUUAAAAGAAUCAGUUCUUCUGUUCGACGAUUUUGUUGAUUGUCUGACAUCAUGUUUUUUUUUUUUUUUUGUCGAUCUUACUAUAAUCCUACUCUAACACUCACUCUCAGACUUUUGUCAUUGCCUCCUUGCAGGGCGUAGGAAUCGAAACCCACUCCUGAAAUGAAAUCGUCCCCACCCCAAUCAUUCCUGAGAAUAUGGGGAUUUGAACCCCCAACCUCCCCCUUUCAAGUUGGAAGGAUAGCCACUGGGGCGAACCCCAGUGGUUGUUUGACAUCAUGUUACAUGGCAUUGAUCAAGGAACAUUUAUUAAGCAAUGAUGUAUUCUCAUUAAUAAGAAAAGGAAAAAAAAAUUCAAACAAAAAAGAAAAUGCUACGACCAACCAUGGAAGAGAAGCUAAAUGGGGUGCCAUGCUUUUAGUUGAAUGGUUUUACAGAUGAAAGAUGGACCAACAUAUUUGCCACGCAUCAUAUUAGUUAGGAUUUAUAUCACAAAAAACUUUAAAUUAAUACACAUGACAAAUUUACUUCAAACUAACUUUUUUAACCACCAAAAUCCUAAACCAAUACAACUGUGACAAAUGUACCAUCCUUAGUUUCCAUUAAAUUUAUCAUCAAAUUGCUACAUUAGAUAACUUGUGGCAAUUGAUAGAUAUAUCAGUUUAGAAUUUUACCAUUUGUUUAUCACAGGUAUUUGUAUUAAUCUAAUUUAGCAAAAACUAAUGAAAGAUAAAUUUAUUACAAGUAUACUUAUUUUGGGUUUUUGGUGGACAAAAAAUUAUUUUUAAAUAAAGUUAUCAUAAGUGUAUCAAUUUGGGGGUUUUUCGUGGUUAAAAAUUAAUUUGAGGUAAAUUUAUUAUAUAUAUACCAGUUUGAGAUUUUUCGUGAUAUUAACUCUAUUAUUUAUUGGAGCUCGGUUGCCUAGACAUUUCUUUUUCAUUUUUAUGAAUUUGCCGCCUAUAUAAUUUACUACACAAUCUUAUGUUUGCAUAAGCAAUGCUUGGAGCAGCUUAAAGCUCAAUUUUGGCUUUUUAUGCUUACGUUUAUCUCACGGUUUUUAGGAAGUUCGAUCAAUCCAGCCUCCGAAUAUAAGCUUGAAACUUUCCAUGCCUAACUCUUUAAGUCAUUCUUCUAAUUUUUUAAUAAAUCAGUUAUAAAAUGUUAAGUUUAAGUAUUUCGCACAUACACGACUUAAUAUUUUGUUACAUUUUUUUUUAUUGAAUAUUACAUAUUACAUUUUCAUGAAUAUCGCACAUACACGAUUUAAAGAAAAAAACGGAUUUAAGUGAGCUCUCUUUCGUCAACGUAAAGCAUUUUCCAGAAAAAAAUUUCAACACAAGUGAGUUAAGUGAGCUCUCUUUCGUCUCGCCAUGGCGGUCGAACUUCGGCCUCUCGCUUGCUCGAGUUUCCACGCUAGUUUGAACUGGUUGGUUGUUGCAGACUGGUGGGUCAUCGCGCGUGCGAGAGAGAAGAAAAAGAGAGCAACAUAUAGGCAACGGCAUGACCAACAUGGGUGAUUUUCCGUGAAAAUCAGGUCCGUCAAUUUUUUCUGGAAAAUGCUUUAUGUUUCCUUUUUUGAAAUCUUUUUGAUUCAUAUGAUUUGACGGCCUCGUCCGACGUGCUGCGAGCCAAAAAAGCAGCAUGUUUGGUAAUUUUCAGAUGUUAGAUUGCCCAGUAAAUAUCGGUCCACUACUACGACUCCCACUCCAAAAAUGCUUUGGUGGAACCAGGAAAUUGCAAUGUUUAUUUGUAGGCCUUCUGGAUCGGAGGGGAUCGAUUGCGGAUCGGGGAAUAAUCGGACUCUUAAGAAUUUUCAAAAGCGAAAGUCAUGAUGCAUAAGACCAAUUUGAUAACCCAAUUGACUGUUGAAAAUUUAUGAGUUCCACACUUAACAAGAUUAAGAUUGUUAAACAACUUUAAACACUAUAAAUAGAAUCAACUUCAAUCCAAUUAAGAGAUGAGUUACUUCAAAAUUAAUGGGUGAUGUGAGGUCAAUUAGGUUUUCCUCUUCCGCGUUUGACUCUUUUCCAAUCAAUUGAAAAUGAGAGAGAGAGAGAGAGGGAAAAAUGCUUACCUGAUCCUUACCAUGCACACGUGAAAAUGGUAGGUCAUAGCAAAUGUCUGAGGUACAAUGUUGUACCGACAUUGAAUAUUUUUAGAAAGCCAGGUCAAUCCAGUCGCCGGCGAUUUAUGUGGGCGGUCCCAUGCUUAACUCUUAAGUCAUUCUUCUACAUUUUUUUUUCAUAUUAAUACUAAGAGAAACUCCAAAUUCAUACCUUUGUAGUGAAUUUAUCAUCCAUUAAUUUUUAUUAAAUUUUACCGUUAAAUUACUAAUUUGGAUGACACAAAGUAAUUGACGAGUAUAUCAAAUUGGAUUUUUACUCACUGUUUUUCAUAAAAUUAUCAGUUUUUUGAUUUUUUGUUGUAAUAAUUUAAUUUAACGGAAACUAACGAAAGUUAAAUUUGUCACAUCCAUAUUAGGAAAAAGUAUCAAAAAAGUCAUAAAUCUAUUGUAUUGGUACCAAUUCAGUCCUAAACUUUUCAAUUGGACCAAUUCAGUCCUAAACCUUUUAAUAUUGGUACCAAUUCAGUCCAUCCGGCCAAAAUUGGCCGGUCGAUGCUGAUGUAGAUGUUGCCAGUAGCCGGACGCUAAUGUGGCAAUUUUAAUGAUUUUUUUAUUAUUAAUUUUAUAAAAUUUAUUUAUUUUUUAUUUUUUAUUAAUUUUUUUCUUUUUCCUUUUCUUUUAUGCUUUCUUCCUGGUGGUGGCCAGCGAAGGUCACGGCCCUCGCCCAGCCUCUCCCAAGGUUGCCGGCAAGGCGGCUUCGCUCGGAUCUAGGUGAGGCUAGCCUCGCCCGUGGCUGGCAAGGCCAUGACGGCCAUCGCUAGGGUGAAGGCAAGGGCCGCAAAGCCCUUGCCAGCCACCAGCGAGGGUUGCAACCCUCGCUCGGCCUCGCCCUGGCCUUGUCGCGGGAGGAGUGAGAGGAGGAGGGACGGGGAGCGGGCGAGGGACGGGUUGUGGGACUGGCACCAUCGGAAGAAGAAGAGGAGGGUGUUGGGGCGGCGGGCUAGGGUUUCGGAGGCGAAGAUCGGGCGGAGGAGUAGCGGUGUGAGGUGUGGUAGAUGGGGAACCAGGGCCUCGAAUGGGGAUUUCAUGGAGGUGAGGGCAGCGAUGACAAUGUCAAGAAGCUCCAGGGUCGACAAUGGAGGAGGCGCCAAGGACACAGUGACAAGGCUAGGGCGAGGGCUGCGACCCUCGCUGGCGACAGGCGAGGGCUUCGUGGCCCUCACCCAGUGGUCGGCCACCGCUAGGAAGAAGGUAGAAAAUAAAAGGAAAAGAAUUAAUAAAAAUUAAUAAAAAAAUUAAUAAAAAAAUUCGAAAAAAAUAAUAAUAUAGUCAUAAAAAUUACCACGUCAGCGUUCAGCCAUCAGUCGAUGUCCACAUCAGCGCCGGCUGGUCAAAAUUGGUUGGAUGGACUAAAUUGGUACCAAUAUUAAAAGAUUUAGGACUGAAUUGGUCAAAUUGAAAAGUUUAUGACUGAAUUGGUAUCAACGUAAUAUGUUUAGGACUUUUUUAGUACUUUUCCCUCUGUAUUAGUUUGUGUUUUUUAAUGGUUAAAAAAUAAGUUUAAAGUAAAUUCAUCACAAGUCUACUACUUAUGGAUUUUUGGUGGUCAAACUUAAUUUUUGGUAAAUUUAUCAUAAAUGUAUUAAUUUUUUGUUUUCCGUAGAAUUAACCCUUUUUUUCAAAAAUCAAUGCUUCCUUUUAUUAAAUCCCAAGUUUUUUUUUUGUCAGUCCUACACUAUUCCUACUCUACACUCACUUUCAGACUUUUGCCCCGCCUCUUGCAGGGCAUGAGAGUUAAAACCCACUGCUGAAACUUACGCGUCCCCACCCCAUCCCCCCUAAGAAGGUGGGGAUUUGAACUCCUCAUCUCCCUCUUCCAUGUUGGAAGGGUGGCCACUGGAGCGAAUCCCAGUAGUUAUUAAAUCCCAAGUUAAAAUUCUUCAUUUUUCAUAGAUAUGCAGUCUCACUAUUUAUUACGUUGCGAUUGAACAUUACACUUUCAUUAAUGUCUUGGGCUUUUUUUUUGUAUUAUCAAUUAAUAAAUUGAUAUUACUUAAUACCACCGUUACCAAAACUCGGGAAUAAUAGUUAAAACUCAAAUGUGCUGGCAAUCUCACCCCGAUAAGUUAGAUUUCUGGCUCUUUCCCCUACCGUACAAUUAGAUAAUUUAAAUUUGAUUACAAACUAUACGUCCCAACAUCAUAUAUUUAUGUGUACAACCUUUUUAUACGUAACAAUCUCAUUUGUCCCUCCCCUCGCGGGCGGUCCUUCAUCCCACAAGGAACAAAAUCGUUCCAUCAUCACACGCAGACGAGCAUACUCCCACAUAUACAUGAGCUGGAGGAACAGAACCGUGAGUCAAAUCGAGUCAAAUUGCGAGCCAACUUGACGUGAUCUGCAGAGGACAUGACCGGCUUGAAUUCAAGUAACAGCGACUUGUUGGCCGGUUCCACCUCCAUGGGCGGCCCAGCUAGCACGAAACAAAAAGGGAAAAAAAAAGAGUAAGAAAAGAAAGUGGGCUGUUUCGUGUAAGUGAGAGAGCGAGCGAGAAAGGAGAGACAAAUUAUAGAUAAGACUAAAUUGAGUAUUGAUGCACCGUGGUACAGCAUGGCACCCGACCUCCAAAAUUUUACAGAGAUCGAUUCCAAAUAAUUUAUCGUGAACAAUGUAGAUAAUUGUAACUAGGGAAAGAGAACAUGUUUAUUUCUUUAAGACCCACUUUUUUCUAUUUUAUUAUAUGCUUUGGGCCCUUUUCACGAGGAUUAGGGUUGAGACUAUGAAUAUGAUUGGUUAGUCAGGAUCCAGUUGCUAGUGGCCCUCGCUUGUGGUGGGUGUGGGAAGAAGGGAAAAAAUGAAAAAGAAAAUACAGAAUAUAUAUAUAAAAGAAUAAGGUAUAAAGAUUAUCUAAGUCAGCAUCGGUCACACCGCAUAAGACAGUUAGCACCGAUCGAAUUGCUAUAUUAAUGAUUUCCAAUCAAAAUUGAUCAAAAGAAUUACAUUGACAGAUCAUUAAAAGAUUCAUGAUUAAAUUGAUCAAAUUAAAUAAAUUAAGACUUAAUUAAUAUCAACAUAAUGGAUUUGCAUUUUUUUUAUUAUAAUUACCUUAGAAUUUAGGGAACGAGACAACAAUCCAUUCAUCCACCAAGUCAAAGUACAUAACUUUUGGAGUGUGUCUCCUUUUGUAAUGUCCGCAGGAGUGGGCUCACAGCGCAUGAUUUUUCAAGAAGAGUGACUUUCAUGGAACAUUUUCGGGAAACCUUGCCGUUUCAGAGAAUUCUUUUUCGUUUCUUUUCUCCGAUUUAGGAAAUUGGCCCCCUCAACCUUUUGAAGCAGCAUCUGCAAUAUUUAUUUAGAUAGAUGCACUUAAAAUAUUAAAAUAUAUCAUGAAAAUAUAAUUAAAUCAUAAAAUUUUAAAAAAUAUAAUUAAAUCCUAAAUUUAUCGAAUUGAUGCAAUCAAGUCAAUUUGUUAAUUUCGUCCAACUUGACUAAUUAAAAAAAAAUGCUAACAUGACUUUUUUAUUAUUAUUUUCUCUCUCUUAAAUAGCAAUGAUGUGACUCAUGCGCGAAAUAUAAGGUUAAAACAAUGUCAUUUUGGUCCAAAUCUAAUUUUUUAAUACAUUUUAUUUAUAUUAUAUUAAAAAAAUAGGGUAACUUCAAAUAAAUUCAGAAAAAGGAAAUAAAAGAAGGAAAAUACAGUCGAGGACUAAUGCGGUCCAAUUUUUUUAAAAAUUUUAUUUAAAUUAUAUUAAAAAUAAGCUAACUUUAAAAAAUACAAAAAAAAAAAAAAAGAAGGAAAAACAUAGCUCCCCACCACCGGCAGGAAGGGCCAGCAAGGGUGCCACUAGUCUAAAUUUUUUGUAGUGAAGCAUGCAUGUUAGUGACAUUUCAUAGAACCUUCCUAUGAUGUACGACCGCCAUUGUCGUAUAUUAACCAAAUGUCCUCCACCAUUCCUUAAUAGAUUACCACUUUUGGUAGCGGCAUGUAAUAACCUUCUCUUGUCAUCCGUAAAAAAAAUUUCUAAGCAUUUUUGCUUUCAUCUAAAUAUUAAUAUCACAAAAAAUCUCAAAUUAAUACACCCAUGUCAUAUUUAUCUAAAAAUUAUUUCGUGUCACAAAAAUCCCAAAACAGUACAUUUGUGCCACAUUUACGCUAAAUUAAUUUUCGUGUUACAAAAAAUCUCAAAUUAAUAUAUUUAUAUCAUAUUUAUCUCAAAUUGACUUUUAUAUAACAAAAAAUCUGAAAGAUUGGUAAUUUGGGAUAAAUUUAGUAUGGAUAUACUAAUUUGAAAUUUUUUGUGACAUGAAAAUACAUUUUAGAUAAAUGUAAUGGGCGUAAAAUUUAGAAUUUUUCGUGACAUGAAAGUAAAUGUGAGUGUACCAAUUUGGGAAAAGAUUUUAUAUUUUUGAAAAAAAAAACAUAUUCUAUUGUCCGGUUGAGGGGUCAUCCCAUGUAUGCUGGAGGCUCCAUUUGGUUCAAACUGUCAAUAAUUGGGUUCCACGUGGCAUGUUGUUGUGGUUGUGUUGGCAAUCGAGCAGCAUUACUUCCAUUGUUUCCUGUGGAGAGACAGAGGGGAGAGAGAGAUUUAAAGGAUCAACAUUUUGAUGCAUCUAGACAUGGAUCUCGUUUAGACAUGGAACUGAGCUAUUAAAGAAUUCAAAAAUAGGUCCUGAAAUGCAAAUGAAGAACCACGAGAGGGCUUCCCCUUCCCCCCAACACAAAAAAAAUCGACGGGAAGGGCGAUGGUGGGUGAUGGCCGGUUGUGGGUCAAUGAGGGUCAUCAGGCCCCGGCCGUCGCAUCGUUUUGACUUCCUUUUCCUUUUUUAUUUUUAAUUUGGUAUAAAUAAUCUUUAGAUUUAAAUAUCAUAUUUAGUUCAAAACAACAUUGUUUUAGCCUUAUCUCUCAUAGUUUAGCCAUGUUAAUGCCACGUAUGAGAGAAAAAUUAAUAUGAAAAGUCAUCUCAGCAUUUUUUAUUAGUCAAAUUGGAUAAAAUUAACGGAAGGACUUGAUCAUUCUCUUUUUAAUUUUUAGUAGGAUUUUCAGUGCACCUAUUCUUACAAAUAAAUGAACUUUUUUUUUUCCCUUCGACACAAGUUUAAGCUAAAUCCUUUGAGCUCGAUCUCCCGUCGAUGGGUGACAUGCUAUUGGUGAUCAUCUAUGCGUGGCUUUGAACAAGUGACAGAAAAUUCAUUAAUCACUUCUAACCACACGUGACUACAAAUUGUAAUAACUAAGGAAUGCGUGUUAUAGUUUGUUGAUUAAAUAUACGUGCUCUACAUGGAUGCUCGGAAAAUUAGAGGUGAAUUAAUAUGGCUCUCCAUCGAAUUAAUGAUGAAGAGAUGAUUUAUUGUUGCAUUUCCGUGAGAACUCUUAAUCUUCGAUAGUUGUUCAAUUGCUUAAAUAAAAAUUAUGAAUUAGUUUUUCCCAAUGUGGAUUCAUAUAAAUUCAACAAUAUAAAAUAUCUAACUUACAAAUUGUAGAAAACCGUCGAGCAACCUUCACAGAAACCAAAUCUUGCCAAAUACCUCAUCCAUAGUCGAGUAUAGCCAGUGAAAAGGCAACCAAAGGUCUAUUUUAAUUACUUCAUCAUUGUAUUUCGUGCUUUUUGAGACAUUAGAGAUUAUAGUCACGACUAAGGCUUUGUUUGUUUUGUAAAAAAUAAAUAAUUUGAGAAACAAAUUUCUAAAAAUAAUCCCUUAUAUCUCUUAAAAUAAUUAGAUCAUGGAAAAUGUUUUCAUUAUCAAUAACAAUUUAUGCCUAACCAUAUUUGUGAACGAUGAAAAUAUUCUUCGUUCAUUCAUUUUUGUAAGUGAUAUAAGUGAUCGUUUUUAUGAAAUUUUUUUCAUAUAAUUCAUUUUUUACGAAACAAAUUGAGCCUGAUUAAGUAUUGAAUUGCACCGUGGUAUAGCUGACCACCCAACCUUGAAAAAGUUACAGAGAUUGAUUCAAACUCUUUUAAUCGAAACAACAUAAAUAAUUGUAAAGAGUUUUCAAUUUUAUCACACGUGAUCGUAAUCUCCAUCUGUUGCUUUUUUGUGGAGCUAAGGUUCAAAAUAGGGAAGAAAGAGGUUCAGGCGCCACUUGAACUUAUGAUUUGUGCAAUCAGAUUAUUAAACUUGUAAAGAUUUUCUGAUAAAGUUUCUUUAGGCCUUUUGCUGACCCAAUUAAGCGCUAAAAAUUGAAUACUCAACUAUUAUUAAGGCUAAGCUUGUUUGAUAAGCUUAACGUGGAUUGACUUAGAAGAAUCAAUUAAAUCAAAAUUCCAGCUUACGUGAUGGGUAAGGGAUUUUUUUUCCCCGCAUAACCUACCAACAUAUACUGGGGCUCCAAAGACGUAUCGCCGGCGUUGGGCGAUCCCGUGACUGCGUUGAACUGUAAAUUUUACCUAGAGGUGGGUGAACUCCAAUGUGGAUUGGCUGGCUUAAUUAAUUCAGUAGAAAAAUAACCGAUGGUAAUUAGAAUCUUGCCGCAUAGAAUUUACAAAUGUCAUCAUUAUAUUUCGGCGAGAAUUCAAUUAUAUUCAGCCAUCACUUUGUAAUCGUCAUCAAACAACUUUAUAUUCCAAAUUUUCAGGAUUAAGACUUUAAACACUUAAAUUUACGACAUUUAUUUUUUUAGUUUUACCAAGCGAGCUGCAGUCUCCCUGAUCCCUCGAUCUUGAUUGUAGAACAUAUCUACAAGAUAAAGCCCUUCAAGGAUCACAUAAGCAAAGGUAGGUCAAGUUUAAUCUUCGCUUACCUACGGUCUCAUCGCUCGACGAAACUCGAACUACCAUGACCGCUCAAGGGAGCUGCAAAUGCUCGGAGGAGCUCAAAGCCUAAGGUCGGCUUUUUCCAUGCCACGAGCCUGUUUAUGUUUGUUCUAAGCAUUGUGGGUAUGGAUGAAUUGCGGUUAUUUGUCUAUAGACACGAGAAAAUUUCCAUGGUCCAGUGUUGCACCGUACCUGUAAAUAGACUUGAGGAGGGGCUAGUCAGGGUUGUCGUCCCUUCGAGAGCAUUUACCCCUGCACACGAUUUUGAUUGGUGUUCUUGUAAAAUUUACUUCUGCUACUUUUGCUAGUCGUUACUAAUUUGUAACUCUAGCUUCAUUAUAAAACUAACAGUCUCGAUGAUUAGAGAAUAUCGAGGGAACUUGAGCAUCUUACUUUAACAAUGCCUUGGUGUUCUGAAAAUAGUUUCAUUGCCUAUGCAUUCCUUACAUGUGAAAAAACCAGAGAACUUCUUGAAGAAAGAUGUUAAGAGAACUGAAGUAGAGAGACAAUUUCAAUUGAAAGAAUCAGUCACUUAACAAGGCGUUAAAUGAAGCCGAACAAUACACAGAUGAGUACAAUUAGCAAUGAUGACAUGGUCCAAUAGAUAAGUAACUAAUAUGGCCUCAUCUAUGAAAAAAUUGCCAUCGCUUCUACCGGACGGUAGUAAUCCAAGGAUCCUCUUACCCAAUGGCGACAGUAACAACGACCAAACCAAGCCUGGGCUUCAAUUUUAUUAUUUUAUUAUUUUUUUCUUUUAUCAAUUUUUUUUGGAGGGUGGUGGGGGGGGGGGGGGGUUUCUAAAAGCCUGAUUUCAAUUGGAGGUCCAUCUAAUUGUACAAUUCUGACUCCUCUCCUCCUGAAGAAGAAACCCUACUACGGGUGCGUUUGGAAUUGGCUUUGCAAAGGAUCUUUGGGCUUCUAAGGAUACUUAGGCUAAAGUUGGGGUGUUUGAGAACAACUUUGAAAUUCAAGUUGGCGUUCUCAAGGCUGAAAGCCUAAGGCAGGUGUGAGGGUGCCUUAGGCUUUCAGCUUUCUCGGCAUACAAGUGUCACUGUUCACUUUUUUUUUUCUCCCCAAAUUAUCCUCAUUUACUCUCGAUUUUUCCGAUUUCACCCUUCUCAUUAUACUAUUCAUCUUCUUCUCCAGGUUGGCCGACAGCUCGAAGCUAUGAGCAGCCGCUGACGGCUCAGCAUGGUCGCAGUGGCCUAGGCGACUGUCGUCGAGGAGUGGUGCAACCGCCGCCCUGUCUGGGUCGCGGCGACCACCGUGGGUCGCGCCGAGGUUUGGGUCACCGACCCCGCCGUGACCCAGAUCUGGGGUGGCGAAGUCCUCUCGCGACCUUGCCGCCCUAGAUCUAGGUCGCGACGGGGUCACCCGACGUCCGGUGGCCCUCACUGGGGGUCGCUUGACCCUGGGCAGCCCUCACUGGUGGUCGCCCGACCUUGGGUAGCCCUUGCCGGUGGUCUUCAAGGGUCACUCAACCCUAGGCGGCCCUCCCCAGUUGUCUCCGAGGUUACUUGAGUUAGAUGCAGCUGUCGGCGACAAAUUUAGAUCGCUGGUGACCGCUUGCCCUUACUUGUCAAUUUUUUUUUUUGAUAAUUUUUUUAUUACAAAAGUCCUUUGUAAAUAUAAUUUUUCUAAACGUCAUUUUACUCAAAGGUAUUUGACAAUGGACUUUUAAAGUGUAAUUUAACAAACGCAAUUUGCAUUCUAAAAAGUUCCUUCAAUUUAAAGCCCUUUAUAUUUUUUCAAAAGCUUUCCUCAAAAGUCCAACCAAAUGCACUCUACAUCACUCUACAUCACUGCUUUUACCUUGAGCCAGCAUUAACAACUUUGAUGGUGCCUAACAUGACCGUCAUCCCACUGUGGGGUCUGAAAGGACGUGUCAUCAUCUAUGGUGGGUCUGACCACAAGGGAUCCGUCGCAUCAAAGUCGACGUGUAAUUCUUCCAUCGCGUAAGCGCCUUCAGGACAAGGGGCAAUCGGGGAGUGAUUGAACAUUUGGCUAUGGAUGUCAGGGGACCGUAUUGGCGGCCCGAAAGAAGCAAUUCUUUUAUCUCCCUGAGAAAAUAGACCACUCAAAGGGUCUGCAGAUAUGGGCUGACGUUCAGUGGGAGGAGCAUUUUCAUCAACUGGAAACGCCAUUGUAUCCUCACAAUUGGUAUUUUGUAAUUGUCCUGGCAAUGGCAAAUCAGCUGCACCAUUAUGUCCUGGAGAAAGAAGUAGAACAUUAAAAGUGAUUAGUAAACAUGGGUUGACAUGAGCACUGGUGUGUGGUCUCAUAAAUUAUUUUCCAAUGAAUGGCCAUGAGCUUUUACCUUUUCGGAAGCUUAAUAAUGAGUCACGGUGUGGUUCAAAGGUAGGAACAUUUCCAUUCCAUGUAUAGUCCAUUUGGCUUGGUGAACUGAUCACACGGCUAGGCACGGUUGGUUGGGAAGCGAAAUCCUCGGACUGGCCGACAGUAGUAAUAGUAUUAUUUCCUAUAGAAAAUGGAGCACUCGAGCAGUAUGUAGGUAUGGGCAGAUGCGGAGCGAGAACACUUACAUUAGCUGGAGACUUCAUUGGAUUUCCAAGAUAGGUAUUUUGGGGCUGUACUGGCGAUGGCGAAGCAGUUAGACCAUUAUGGCCUGGAGAAAGAAGUAGAACAUUAAUGUGCAUAGUAAAUAUGGGCUGACAUGGGCACGGUUGUACAAUCUUAUAAAAUUUGUUCAAAUGAAGGGAUAGGAGCAUUCACCAUUUGGGAAGCUUAAUAAUGAGUCAUGGGGUAGUCCAGAGGGAGGAACAUUUCCAUUCAAUGUAUAGUCCCUUUGGCUUGGUGAACCGAUCACGUGGCUAGGCAUGGUAGAUUGGGAAGUGAAAUUCUGGGACUGGCCGAAAGUAGUAAUAGUAUUAUCUCCGGUAGAAAAUGGAGCACCCAAGCAGCACGUAGGUAUGGGCGGACGCGGAGCGAGAGGAGCACUUCCAUUAGCUGGAGACAUCAUGGGAUUUCCAAAAUAGGUAUUUUGGGAUUGUACUGGUGAUGGCGAAGCAAUUACAUCAUUAUGUCCUGGAGAAAGAAGUAGAACAUUAAUGUGGUUAGUAAAUAUGGGCCGGAAUGAGCAGAUGUGUGAUCUUAUAAAUAAAAAAUAAAAAAUUCCCAUGAAUGGUUACGGGCCUUUACUAUUCCUCACCCUGCACAUCUCUUUAAUUUUUCUUGUCACUGAUCUUUGUAAUCUUUUUAAGUGCUUCAAUUGACCCUUUCCCUUCAUAGAUUGAACAUUUUACAUCUCAAUUUUAGAUAUAUAAGUUUAAUCAACAUAACUUCUUUUCUAACAUGAUCUUUCAGUCACCAUUUGAUAAAAAUACCCAUACAAACACGUCACCGUGUGCUUAUUAUAUCUAUUCAUAUCUAACGAACUUUUUAAUUGCAUUUUAAUUGAUUGGACUAAACACAUACAUACAUACAUACAUACAUACAUACAUACAUACAUACAUACAUACAUACAUAUGGCCAUAUGGAUAGAGUCUAUUGAAUGAGGCUUAGUUUGCAAUAAUCACAUCUCACAGAAUAUAUCUCUUUUUGAUCAAUUAGCAUUAAGAUAUUUAAUAUUCUCAACAUUGCAUGUCCUUAUUGGUCAUUUUGUUACUUUGACUCCUAAACCUUUCAUGUCCAAAUUGAAGUUGCAUCUUCGAAACUGAACCUUGACAAAAUGCAAGUACUUAACUAUUGCCCUUUGCCUUUGUACUUAAUCUAUUAUAUUACUGCUUUCAGUAGUGACCUGCGACAAUCUACUUCUUGUUUGUUCAUCAUCAGUAAAAAUUAUUUCUCGGCAUUUUCAAAUGCAAGUUCAAUUGAUGGGGUAGCUGGACAAAUUAAUGUCUUCAGAUAACGCGGAACCCAAAUCAUUAGGAUCUGAAACAUAUGUUGCUUUUAUGUAUUAAAGCUCAACAAUCAAGUGGAAAGUCCUACUUUCUAUCAUUAUUUCACAGGCCACAUCUUUGUAUGUGCUUAUAGGUCGAGAUAAUUUUGUGUUUGGCGUACCGUCAGCAGUGGGGUCCGCAUUUGCCGGAGGAGCUUCCAGACCAACUGGAGGAGCACAAGUACUUGGAGACAUUCUAUGUUGAGCAGGCGCGGGUUUUUGAGUUUGUUGUUCAGAGACUUGAGAUGGAAAAGAGCUUUCAUGGUUCUGGAGGAAAAACACAGUACACCGCUUAAUCUGGAGUAAUGUUGCAUUCCAUUGGACGAACUUGCACUCAGAGUAAACACGUAUGCGCAUGACAGAGAAAGAAGAAUAAAGAAUAACAUUGAAAGAACCUCAAUUCACUUUAGGCCUAUUGCCACCCAUUUCUCCACCACACGAAGUUUAGGUGCUCCAAAGAUGCAAUGGAGAGUACAAUCAAGGCAAGGGUCCUCAGGGUAAAGAUGCAAAGUUGAUUGAGAAAGGACCAGUGAAUAAUUAAAACACACAUCAACUUGUAUCAUGCAAAUAAUUAAGAUCUUCAUAGUUCUAGAGUCAUGGUUGCAAAUUGUCAUGGAUGACAGCAAAUCAAUGGCUGAAAGUGCUCUCUACAGAAGGCCACUUAGAUUUACAGGGUCACCAUCCUCAACUCUGCAUCGCAAAGAGACAAAGCUCAAAAUCACUAGCAUCUAGAUUUUCAUUUUGUUCUCUCCACAGGCACUUCAUAUGACUUUUACCGACAAAUAAAAAAACAAAGCAUUUAAAUGUCCAACCAACUCCCCUUUUCAAAUUUCCAUAUCUCUGAUCAAAUCUAAUAGCUAUUAAGCCACACCGCUACAAGUAAACUCAAAUUACUGAUGACACAUAUAAUAUGAGACAUAGUAUAUGAACUCAGCAUGAUGGUGUGCACUGCAGGGACUAGCUUGACAAAACUCAGAGGAGCUCCUUAGUUACUUACCUUCUCUCGGGCAGAAAGUGGACCAGUAGCAGAAUAUACCACGUCAUUGAUUAGGCCGGUUGGUUGAUGAUCAGUGCUGAAUACAGCAGCAUCCUCCCUCAUGACUUUAGGAUUCUCCGAAUGAGUUUUCAAGUCUUUGCACUUCAUUGCAUGAGCCAUGAGUUGUUCCCAGUUCUUCGGUGUUAUGCUCUUUCCAAGUAUCUAUGAUGAGUGAACACGCAAGACUUACAAUAUCGGUAGUCAAUCAAACCAUAAUUGGGAAUCAUUAACUAAGUGCUUACCUCUCUCGGCUUCUUGAAGUCUGUAGACCGGUGCUGUAGAAAGUCCCCCACUGUAUAUAUUCCGGCUUUAUUCAAUUUUUGGUGAGAUUUCCCAUCUUUGGCAAUCUUCUCCAGCCUCCAGAUCUCAUCAUUAAAUGCAGGUGGAUGAUGUUUCUUGUUUGCUGUAAAAUGAAGAGGACAUAUACAGUAAGGUCCUUGUCCUUGUUAGAUUGAUGAGUACCUUCUGAUAGGCGUGCAGACCCUCUCCCGAAACUGAUUCGAAGUGUCAACAUUUUCUAAUAACAUAGAAACAGAUCAUAUUUUAUUUAUCAAAAUUUUCAGACAUUUUAAAGGAGUAUGGGAUUAUGCUUUCUCAAAGAAAGAUGAAUAUUGCCCAAACAUAUAUCGAAUUUCUUGUUUUACACCUUAAUAAAGGAACAUAUUAUCCAGGGCCAUACAUUGCUCAGGAAUUACUAAAGUUUCUAGAAGAAAACUUUAUGACAAAACAAGUUCAGCAAUUUGUUGGGAUAUUUAAUUAUCUCAAAUACCUUAUUCCCAACAUUGCAAAAUUGUCGAUUCCACUACAAUUAAUGCUAAAGAAUAAUCCUUCACCUUGGGAAAAAUCCCAUAUUAAAGCAGUCGCUGAACUUAGGAGAUCAUGCAAACUCUUUCUCCGUUACAAAUCCCAUCAAUGGAAAAGAAAAUUCUCCAGACAAAUGGCAGUGAUGAAUACUGGGCAACCAUCCUGUUCAAAGAAGCUGAGGGUAAGCGACACCUGUGUGCUUAUAAAAGUGGAAAAUUUUCCCAUGUUCAAAUGCAUUAUCAUUUCACUUUUAAAGAAAUUUUGGUGGUAAAAAAUGGAAAAAAAAAAUUCAAGUCCCAUCUCAUCGGCCAUCACUUCCUGGUGAAAUUGGAUAUGGGAUCUUUUCCUCAGAUAAUCAAGUUCAAGCAAAAGUAGAUUCCACAUUUCCAACUACUUCGAUGGGCUAAAUGUUUUUUGAAGCACUCAUUUGAAACCAAAUAUAUUGCUGGAAAAAAAAUGUGCUUGCUAAUUUCCUAUCAAAACCAAAGGCAUCAGCAGAAAUCAACAUGUACAUCAUGAGGCAUGCCUUCCAUACUUUUCACCACAACGAAAAGUAUAAGAUCGAAAAGAUAUGAGAUUGGCCAAGCUGGCAAUACUCCUAGGAGAUUAUUGAGUAGAUCCAAAAUGAUAGCCUCACUGAAAAUCUAGAAAACCUUUUGUGGCAAUGUCAUAUAGAGCUAUUUUGAAUCCAUGGAGUUUCGAUCCUUUACCCCACUAGACUAAAUUCCAGUUACCCGUUCAUACACCCUCUAAUCUGGAAGGAAGAUGACUUCCUUGAUCAACUUCGAUGGUUGUUGUGGUACUUAACCAAUAAGUACUUAAUAAUUAUUGAGAUUCCAAUCAGAAGGUUCAUUGCCAAUAUGAGGCUUGACCAAAAUAUUGAAAAGGAAAAUGACAAAAACCUUUUGGCUUUCCUUAAUUGGUUCUAUCUUCCUACUCAUUGGAAGCACCUUCUACAACAAGAGCUAAGAAUUGUCUUACUAGACCCGAAAAUCCACACUGUUGUGUUUUUUAGACGACCAUGGGCUUUUGUACGAAACAAUUGCCCCAUUGCUAAUGCGCCAUAGAGUAUAGGAACUACAUCCUAUAAAUCUUAGCCGCACAAAUCCUUUCCAUGCCCUGUUGGUUGCUAUGAACACCAAUAUCAAGAGCUUUAGAGAGUCUUAUGCCAAGAAAACAAGACCAUCCCUGAGGACAUGUAGAAUUACAUUGUACCCACUGCAUGGAAUCAUUAUGACAUUGCACCAGAAGCUAGGAAGCACUCAAAGAAUUCGAGCAAGUAAGGACACUUCCAUAACAUGAGCAUGAACCCUGCAUAAUUAUCUCAAGACCUUUAUGCCCAAUGGGAGCCCUCUCUCUCAAGAUCCUUAUGAUCAAGGACCUUUGUCCUUAUUCCGAGGGAUUGACACAUCUUACUAUGCUCAACCAUCCAAUUGGCCUCAACCAAAUUUGUCUGCCGACACUCCAGGAUCCUCUAGGACUUAUGAAGAAGCACCUUCAUGCAAACAUGUGAAAUACUCGAAGCCCCUCUAAUAUACGACUUGCAGAACUUGAACAGAAAUACGAAGAAUAUCUUCUUGCAAAAAUGCAUAGUUCUGAUAACUUAGGGUGCGCAUGACAAAAUUUCUGUUUCUCGAUUUCUCUGUUUCUCUGUUCCCCGGAACAUGUUUGGAACAUAAAUCUGUUUGGUAACGUGAUUUGAUUUCUCUAUUUCUGAAACAGAUUUCUAUUCCAUAAAUAGAGAAAUUGAAGAAAUCAGAAACUGAAAUUUUUAACUUCUCAGUUUCUGAAAUAGAAAUCAGAAACUGAAAUCAAACUAUAUAAAAAAUCUUGCGCUUUCUUGCUAACUUAAUUCACUCAUAACCACAACUUCACAAAUUAUUGCUAAUUUUCUUUUUCUUAUUUUACUUGUGUUUUUUUUUUUUUUGGCAUUUUUUCAAUUUUUUUUUAUAACUUUUUCUUUAGGAUGAAAGGCAAUCGAAUGGGUCCCCAAUUUUCAAAAAACGAUCAAAGUUCUUAAAUGCUUACUUAAAAACAAUGGGGUUCUUUCCUUAUAGAAAAGGUACUUGCAUGGCCAGUUGAAGAAAAAGUAUUUACGUAAUAGAUGAAUGAAAAACGUGCCUAGAAAUUUAACGUUAUUUUUUUACGGAUUCAAAAUUCUUGCAAAAUCAAAAUAAUUAGAUUGUUACACAAUCUUGAAUUUUAAUUCGAAGGCAAGAGAUUCAAGAAAAUCUCUCUCUUUGCUAUGCAAGGGCCAUUAAAGGUUCAUUGAGCAACAAUAAAGAAGUUAGGGAUGAGCAACUGGACUGAUUCAAUUCAAGAAUCAAAAUAAACCGACCUUCCCCCGAUUGGUUCGUAACCAUAAACGUUACUUUAAGGUAGAAUUCUCAUAUAUUCCUUUACACCGUUACUUUUAUUUUGUGGAUAAUCUUGUAUAUACUAGUUUUCGAUAAAAUGACAAUGUUGUAUAUGCAUCAUUGAUGGCACCUAUAUUCAUGUUUCCGCAGUACUUGUCUGAACCUACGCAGAAUGAGCUUGCAAAUGAUACAUUGAUCGAGGAGGGAAACCAAAUAAAUACGCUUAGGAAAACAAUUGUUAAUAAAAUGGCAAAGGAUAAUAAUAUGCCGGAAAUUCUAUGAAAUUGUAUUUUCAACUUUUGUAAUGUAUUUGUAUUAUUUCGACUAUUAUUUUGUAUUUGAGGAUUUCCAUAUUGUUAUCUAAUCAAUUUCUAUUCCUAGAAAUAGAAAUUUGUUCUGUUAUCAAAUGGAUUUCAGUUUCAAAAAUAGAAAUUUUGAAUUGUUAUCAAACGGGUUUCUUUGCUCAGAAACUUAUCCGGGGAAUAGAAAUUAAGAAAUUGAUUUCUGGCCAGAAAUCAAUUUAUGUUUCAGAAAUUUUAUCAUGCGCAGCCUUAAAUUAUGAGUACAAUGCCUAUGACGGGAGAGAUUGUUGACUGUACUAAGUCAUUAUAGCAAAUUACUAUAGUAAUAGGUUAGAGAAAUCACUGUUCACUGUCAUUGUUCAUAUCAUCUAAAAUAAUUCCUGACUGAAUUUUCCAGAGUCUCUGUUUGUUUUAGGACUCGUGAGCUUGAUCCUUGUUUGUUUGUGACCUCUUAAUGCCUAUAAAAGGCAAAGAAGAUGUAAUGUGUUAGGCAAAGUCUCCUAAAGUAAAGUGAGUGUUUGCGAAAACUCUCAAUGUCUUUCUUCUAAACACUUUUUCUUGUCCAGCUUGGUAGGAUUCUCUGAGAAAUGUAGUUCGGAUAGUUAGAAAUGUUACCAUUCUAGCAUCUCUGAGUAUCUCUAGCCUCUGAACUAAAUUUCUAAGUAGUUUGCUACUAAAAGGCUGUCCCUGAAAUGCUUGAACUAGAGGUUCGACGAUAUACCUACAAAAACUUAGUCUUCCCUAGUUCUAAGCUUAGGUCCAUUCAAUGGUAUCACUAUUUAGGGUUUUACUUUCCGUUUGUCAUGUAUAUACCAAUAUGUAGUCUUCUUCGUAAGAUUAAUUAAAUUUAAUAAAAACUAACGUAGAGUAAAUUUAAAAUAAAUGUACCAGUUUAAAGUUUUUGAUAGUGAAAAAAUUAGUUUAAGGUAAAUUAUUAAUUGUCUUUGUAUUGUAUUGCGAUCUAAAGUAUUUUAAUCUUACAGCUUAACUAAAUUAUUAGGUUUCGUAGCUGCAUGUUAAUGUAAUGCUAAAAUUAGUUACAGAAGCUUUGUUUAAUACAGCUUUUUGUUUUUUUUCCUGUUCUUCUCGAUGUAAUGUGUUGAGAGUUUGUACGGGGUGAACAAUACAAUAAGGAAAUAAAGAGCUUCACUGUGCCGUUAAAUCCUUCUAUCUGCUUCCUUUUUUCGAGGACACGUCCUUGAUCCUAAUCACCGUCCCUUUUUUUUGUCCAACUAAUCACCGUCCCUUAACUUUUCGAUUUUACCGCAGGUGCUCAUGAUAUCCAAUCGUUGCAUUUUCAUAUGGCCCUCGUACUCUUGAUUUGUGUAAUCAAAUCAUUACACUCGUAAAAAUUUUCUGAUGGUCUCUCUUUAGGCCUUUUGAUGACCCGAUUGAGCGCUGAAAGUUGAAUUCUCAACAAUUAAUAAAGCUAAGCUUGUUUAUUAAGCUUAACGUGGAUUGACUUAAAAGAAUCGAUUAAAUAAAAAUUCCACCUAACGUGACAAGUAAGUGAUUUUUUUUUUUUUUACCACAUAAACUACUAACGGAUACUAGGGCUGCAAACACCUAACGCUCGUGUUGAGUAAUCCCAUGACUGCAUUGAACUGUAAACUAUGCCGAGGGUUGGGUGAGCUCCAAUGUGGAAUGGCUUACUUAAUUCAUUUAAUAGAAAAAUAAUAGAUGGUGAUUAGAAUCUUGCCGCAUAUAUUUUACUACAAUAAAUAUUUCUGUUAUAUAUUUUUGUGAGAAUUCGAUUAUAUUCAGCUAUCACUUUGUAAUUAUCAUCAAACAACUUCAUAUUUCAAAUUUUCAGGAUUAAGGUUUUAAAAAAAUUAAUUUAUAAUAAUUAAAUUUUGAACAUUUAUUUUUCAGUUGUACUAAACGAGCUGUAGUCCCUAAUCCCGGGAAAUCAAUGGUUGCGUGUCCAUCAAUAAUAGCAACAAUCCAUGAUGUUAGGGAAAAAAAAAUCGGCGCAACAGUGUAUAUUCAUUUUUGAGUGAAACAAGUUGUGGGAACAAUAAUGGAAGAUACAAUUAAGUGAAUCAUAGAAAAUAGUGGACAAUCAAUAUUGGGUUUCUUCUUUUUUUCCCUUUUAUUUCCUUUUGUUUCUUUCUUAAUUCUCCCGAUCUAGUUUGGGAGCUUUGCUCUCCCAAUCUUAUAUUUGGGAGCUUUUCUCUCUAUCUAAUUCUAGAUUUUGGAGUUUUAAUAAAUAAGUACACCGCAUCCAGUUCCAAUGGUGUGCACAGCAACUUCAAAGUCAAAUCUAUACUCACUCAACGUUUUCUCACUCAAAGUUUGGGCACUUCACAUUGGUUAUAUGGCUCGCUUUCAUAGGUGUCAGAUCUGAUAUUUUUCAAUAUAUUUAUAUUGUCUCUGUAUGUUGAUAGUGUUGGGGGCACCAAACCUAGGAGCAUACUGCUGAAAGGCAAAGCCAUAAUUACAGAUGGAGAUCUCAGUGUGUGCUUAUCACAUAUGGUGUUGUGUGAUUUUGUGAUUGACCGUUGAUCCUUUUGUUUGGAUCCGGUUACACAUAUGUUAUUGAAGGAUAAGCUCACGAUGAUCUCUGCCAAUAAUGCUCUAAUGAAACACAUUGAUUUCUGGUUUUUUUUUUUUUUUUGGAGAUCUAUAGAUUUGUUUUAUUACUAUGACUUUUGAGAUUUCCUUUCAUGUAUCAAUUUGGUAAUGAAUGGAAAUUUGUUUUUGACCAAAAAAAUUAUUGAGCUUUUGGUUAGCAUCGAUGGACACAUACAUUUGAUUAUGUGGGACCAACGACGAGAGAACUCGAAGCACUCAAUCUUGAUAAUUAAAAAUUCGAGGAUCACAUAAGUAAAGGUAGAUUGAGCUUAAUCUUUGCUUGCUCACGGUCUUAUCGCUUGACGAAGGUUGAACUACCAUGACCGUUGAACUACCAUGACCGGCGCUCCUGGGAGCUGUGCAAAUGCUAGGAGGAGCUUAAAGCUUAAGGUCGGCUUUUUCCAUGCCACCAGCCUGUUUAUGUUGUUCUGAGCAUUUUGGGUAUGGAUGAAUUGUGGUUAUUUGUCUAUGGACAAGAGAAAAUUUCUAUGUCCCAAUGCUGCCCCGAACAUGAACAGACUUGAGGAGGGGCUAGUCAAGAUUGCCGUCCCCUCGAGAGCAUUUAGCCCCACAUACCUACGAUUUUGAUCGGUCUUCUUGUAAAAUUUGCUUCUGCUACUUCUUCAGUAGUUACUAAAUUGUAACUCUAACUUCAUUAUAAAACUAACAGUCUCGAUAUAUAGAGAAUAUCGAGGGAACUUAGCAUCAUAAUUUAACAAUGCCGUGCGUUCUGAAAAACAGCUUCAUUGCCUGGGGAUAGCAGCAAACAGACAAGACCUAGUACAUAGCAGUCGAUGGACAUAAUCUAGUAAUUUAAUAAUGCCAUGCGUUCUUCCUGAUGAAGAAACCCCACUGCAUCACUGCCUUUAUCUUGAGUCGGCCAUUAACACCUUUGCUGGUGCCUAAACAGAGCCAUCUUUCCACGGCGGGGUGUGAAAGGACAUGUCAACAUCUGGUAGGCCCGAGUAUUUCGUCAUAUUAUCUGCAACAUUGAAUUGCAAAUUUUCCAUCUCGUGAUCACUUUCGUGAUCACCUUCAGGUUGAGGAUCACAGGGUGGUUCAGAGGGCAGAAUAAGCUCAUUCAUUGCAGCGUCCAUUUUCCUCCAUGGACUGAACAUUUGGUUACGCAACGCAUCCUGUGAACUUAUAUCAUGGGACUGUGUUGACGAUCCACCAAUAAUAAUACCAUUAUCUCCCGGAGAAAUUAGACCAUUCCAGUUGUUUGCAGGUAUGGGCUGAUGUGAAGCAGGACAAGCAAGUUCAUUGGCUAAAAAGUUCAUGGGAUUUCCAAAAGAGGUAUUUUGGGACUGUACUUUCAAUGGCAAGGCAGUUACAUGAUUAUGUCCUAGAGAAAGAAUUAGAGCAUUAAUGUGGUUAGUAAAUAUGAGCCGAUGUGGGCAUGGCUCUAGGAUCUUAUAAAAAGAAAUUUCGAAUGAAUGAUUAUGAGCUUUUACCAUAUGAUAUUGAGGCAUGGGAUGGUCUAGAGAAGAGAACAUGCUCAUUUACUGUAGAGUCCAUUCGCCUCGAAGAACUGAUCACAUGGCUAGGCGUGGCAGAUUGGGAAUUGACAUCAUGAGACUGUGUUGGCAAUCCGCCGGUAGUAAUACCAUUAUCUCCUGGAGAAGUAAGACCAUUCCAAUUGUUUGCAUAUGUGAGCUGAUGUGAAGAGGGACGAGCAAGUUCAUUAGCUGAAAACUUCAUGGGAUUUCCAAAAUAGGUAUUUUGAGAUUGUACUGGCAAUGGUAAAGCAGCUACACCAUUAUGUCCUGGAGAAAGAAUUAGAACAUUAAUGUGGUCAGUAAACAUGAGCCGACAUGGACAUAGGUACACGAUCUUAUAAAGAAAAAAUCGAAAGAAUGAUAAUGAGCUUUUACCACAUGAUAUUGAGGCACAGGUUAGUCCAGAGGGGAGAACAUGGUCAUUUACUGUACAGUCCAUUUGCCUCGAAGAAUCGAUCACAAGGCUAGGCAUGGCAGAUUGGGAAUUGACAUUAUGGGACUGUGUUGGCAAUCUGCCAUUAGUAGUACCAUUAUCUCCUGGAGGAAUUAGGCCAUUCCAGUUGUUUGCAUAUGUGGGUUGAUGUGAAGCGGGACGAGCAAGUUCAUCAGCUGAAAACUUCAUGGGAUUUCCAAAAUAGGUAUUUUGGGACUGUACUGGUAAUGGCAAAGCUGUUACAUCAUUAUGUCCUAGAGAAAGAAUUAGAACAUUAAUGUGGUUAGCAAAUAUGAGCCGACAUGAGCAGGAGUGUAUGAUAUUAUGAAAAAAAAUCGAAGGAAUGCUUAUGAGCUUUUACCAUCUGAUAUUGAGGCACAGGUUGGUCUAGAGGGGAGAACAUGUUCAUUUACGGUAGAGUCCAUUUGCCUCGAAGAAUCAAUCACAUGGCUAGGCAUGACAGAUUGGGAAUUGGCAUCAUGGGACUGUGUUGGCAAUCCACCGAUAGUAAUACCAUUAUCUCCCGGAGGAAUCAGACCACUCCAGUUGUUUGCAUAUGUGGGCUGAUGUGAAGCAGGGCGAGCAAGUUCAUUAGCUGAAAAUUUCAUGGGAUUUCCAAAAUAGGUAUUCUGGGACUGUACUGGCAAUGGUAAAGCAAUCACACCAUUAUGUCCUGGAGAAAGAAUUAGAACAUUAACGUGGUUGUUAAACAUGAGCCGACAAGCGCAGGAGUGUACGAUUUUAUAAAAAAAAAAAUUCCAAAGAAUGAUUAUGAGCUUUUACCAUCUGACAUUGAGGCAUAGGUUUGUCCAGAGGGGAGAACGUGGUCAUUUACUGCACAGUCCAUUUGCCUCGAAGAAUCGAUCACAUGGCUAGGCAUGACUGAUUGGGAAUUGACAUCAUGGGACUGAAUUGGCAAUUCGCCAGUAGUAAUACCAUUAUCUCCUGAAGGAAUUAGAUUAUUCCAGUUGUUUGCAUAUGUAGGCUGAUGUGAAGCGGGACGAGCAAGUUCAUUUGUUGAAAGCUCCAUGGGAUUUCCAAAAUAGGCAUUUUGGGAUUGGACUAGCCAUGGCAAAGCGGAUACACCAUUAUAUGUCCCAGAGGAAGAAUUAGAACUUACUGAGGUUAGUAAAUAUAGGCCGACAUGGGCAUGGGUGUAGAAUCUUCUAAAAAAAUUUCGAAUGAAUGGUUAUGAGCUUUAACUACUCUGAUAUCAUUAGCUUCAAUUGACAAUGGCCUUUCCCUUCACAGAUUGAACAUUUUACGUCUUAAUUUCAGACAUAUUAGUUUAAUCAACAUAACUUCUUUUCUAAUAUGAUCUUUCAGCCAUUAUUUAAUAAAAAUGCCCACACAAACACGAUGCUGUGUGCCUAUUACAUCUAUUCAUAUCUAACUAAUUUUCUAAUUGCAUUCUAAUUGCUUGCACUGAAAACAUACACACAUACGUACGUAUGUACGUACAUACAUAUGGCCAAAUGGAUAGAAUGUAUUGAAUGAGGCUCAUUUUGCAACAAUCACAUCUUACAGAAUAUGUCAUUUCGUGUUCAAUUUGGAUUUGGAUUUUAAAUGUUCUCCACAUUGGAUGUUCUUAUCGGUCACUUUGUUACUUCAACUCUUAAAUCUUUCAUGUCUAAAUUGAAGUUGCAUCUUCUAAACCAAACCUCGACAAAAUGGAAGUACUUGAUAAUAGCCCUCUUGCCUUUGUACUGAAUCUAUUAGAUUACUGCUUUUGGUAGUGACCUGCAACGACAUACUCUUCUUGUUUGUUCAUCAUUAGUAAAAACUAUUUUUCAGCAUUUUCAGAUGCAAAUUCAAUUGUGGGGUAGCUGGACAAAUAAACGUCUUCACAUAACGCGGAACCCAAAUGAUAAGGAUCUGAAACACGUUGUUUUUAUGUAUUAAAGUUCUACGAUCAAAUGGAAAGUCCUAUUAUCAUCAUUAUUUCACAGGCCCCGUCUUUGUAUGGGCUUAUAGGGAGAGAGAGUUUUGUGUUUCGGAGCACGUACCUUCAGCAGUGGAGCCUGCAUUCGCUGGAGGAGCUUCCGGACCAACUGGAGGAGCACAGGUACUUGGAGCCAUAUUAUGUUGAACAGAGGCGGGAAUUUCAGUUUGUCGUUCAGAGACUUGAGAUGGAAAAGAGCUUGAGGCUUUCCCAACUGUAUCUUCAUGGUUCUGGAAGAAAAACACAGUAUACCACUUAGUAUAAUGGAAGUAUUUAUCUCCACUAUAAAAGGUACACGCUCUGACUUCAAGCUACAAUUUCUUUUUUCCGCAAGUAAUGUUGCAUUCCUUGGAAGAACUUGCACUCAGAGUAAGCACGCAUGCGCAGCACAGAGAAAGAAGAAUAAAGAAUAACAUUGAAAGAACCUCAAUUCACUUUAGGCCUAUCGCCACCCAUUUCUCCACCACACAAAGUUCAGGUGCUCCAAAGAUGCAAUGGAGAGUACAAUCAAGGUAAGGAUCCUCAGGGUAAAGAUGCAAAGUUGAUUGAGAAAGGACCAGUGAAUAAUUAAAACACUCAUCAACUUGUAUCGUGCAAGUAAUUAAGAUCUUCAUAGUUCUAGAGUCAUGGUUGCAAAUCAAUGGCUGAAAGCGCUCUCUACAGAAGGCCACUUAGAUUUACAAGGUCACCAUCCUCAACUUUGCACUGCAAAGAGCGAAAGCUCAAAAAUCACUAGCAUCUAGAUUUUCAUUUUGUUCUCUCCACAGGCACUUCAUAUUACUUUUACUGACAAAUAAAAAAACAAAGCAUUCAAAUGUCCAACCAACUCCCCUUUUCAAAUUUCCAUCUCUGAUCAAAUCUAAUACCUAUAAAGCCACACCGCUACAAGUAAACUCAUUACUGAUGACACAUAUAAUAUGGGACAUAUUAUAUGAACUCAGCAUGAUGGUGUGCACUGCAUGGACUGGCUUGACAAAACUCAGGAGGAACUCCUUAGUUACUUACCUUCUCUCGGGCAAAAAGUCGAUCAGUAGCAGAAUAUACCACAUCAUUGAUUAGGUCGGUUGGUUGAUGAUCAGUGCUGAAUUCAGCAGCAUCCUCCCUCUUGACAUUAGGAUUCUCCGAAUGAGUUUUCAAGUCUUGGCACUCCAUUGCAUGAGCUAUGAGGUGUUCCCAGUUCUUUGGUGUCAUGCUCUUUCCAAGUACCUAUGAUGAGUGAACACGCAAGACUUACAAUCUCGGUAGUCAAUCAAACCAUAAUUGGGAAUCAUUAACUAAGUGCUUACCUCUCUCGGCUUCUUCAAGUCUGUAGACCGGUGCUGUAGAAAGUCCCCCACUGUAUAUAUUCCGGCUUUAUUCAAUUUUUGGUGAGAUUUCCCAUCUUUGGCAAUCUUCUCCAGCCUCCAGAUCUCAUCAUGAAGUGCAGGUGGAUGAUGUUUCUUGUUUGCUGUAAAAUGAAGAGGACAUAUACAGUAAGGUCCUUGUCCCUGUUAGAUUGAUGAGUACCUUCUGAUAGGCGUGCAGACCCUCUCCCGAAACUGAUUCAAAGUGUCAACAUUUUCUAAUAACAUAGAAACAGAUCAUAUUUUAUUUAUCAGAAUUUUUAUUUGAGAUGUAAUGGUUCGUAUGAAAUGAAGCUCUCAAUUAAAAUAUAGGAGACGCAAUGUCUGAAACAAUGUUUAUUAUCAGUCAUAAACUUAGGACAAGGUUUAUGUACUGUAAGACUAUGAAAGCCGUACAUUCUCCUCUAUGUUCCUUGACACGAAAGGCAUCUGUUUUUGCUUCCCGGAUUCGUGUAUUCCCACAAUAACCUGAUGCCACCUUAAGCCCUAUCCUAAAUUGUUUAUUCCUGUCCCAACUGGAAUUGUCCAUAAAUAUCAGUUCUCCCAGCUCCCCAACACCUCCCUUGAGCGUCACCUGGCGAACUCCUGUCAAAAGCGGCCCCUUUCCUUCACGUUCUUUAACCAUGAAGUUCUCAAACUCUUCUUGAUUUCCCUAAACUAUAUGCCAUGUGAUUUUUUUAUUUUAUAGCAAAAAUUAACCCUAAAAAUUUAGGUGUCAACACAACUUCUCCUGUAUCUGCAUCAAUCAAGGCAACAGAAAUGCGAGCACCCCCUUUUCCUUCUAGUUUCUGUCCGGUAAAUACAUUUUCGGACAGUUUGGUUGGAAUGUGAAGCCAGAAGUUUCUCACAUCAUUCUUUCUCGUAGUUUUAGCAUUAAUACUGCAUUCUCUGGGAAAAACAACCAUUAGAAACAGGAACAGGUAUAGAAGCAGAAAAUUGGAAAAGUAAUAACACAUAGAGACAAACUACCAAACAUCUCACUUGGACAAGUCUUACUGCCAGAGAAACUACUAGUUUAAAUAGAUGCAUUGUCUCAGAGAGUUUAACAAGGCAAAUUUUUUAAAAAGUAAAAUAAAACCAAAUAUAAUGCUGCACUGCUCUCAAGAUACAUAUGAUUAUGUUCUAAAUCGGAGCAUUGACAACUUGGCGUAUGACCUAAUCAUUCUGGCUUAGUUGUAAACUGAGGUCUGGCUGCCUGCUUUGGGGUUAGGGGUAAAGUCGGACUAUUAUUCCCCAAAAAAUCAACAAUGCAUAACCAGUCAAUACUACACAGAAAGCCAGCAUCACAGGGAAAGAGCAUUCAUACCAUUCAAGGUGGGGAGAUUGAUCAUUCAUGAGCUCCACUGUUUCCCUCUGUCCAAAACCACCAAGAGAAGAGUUGUCAAAGUUGGAGACAUCAAAUAAAUGAAGCAGAAGUAUAUAUAGCUUAGACGAACUAUCCUAAGCGUUUUCUUUAUCCCCUUUCAUUCCAUGUUCAUGUAAAAUGUUACAUGUGCUUUGGAAUGGUUAUGAUCAGCUUUAGGUGAUAAAGCCACAGUUGUGGAUGUUAUUGAGACAAAUGAAUGGAGAUGGCCUCCUGCAAGUUCUGAUGAUCUGCUUGGAACUCAGAUGGCUUUGUAUGGGUUGAUUGCUCCAAACUCUGGCUCUGUAGGCAAAGUGGUAUUUACUGGAUAAUCAAGGGGCUCUUUCUCUGUAAAGGAGGUUUGGAAGCUCGUGAGGAAAUGUAUACAAACUUACUUGGCUUAAGCCUGUAUGGUUUAAGCCUAACGUGCCAUAAUGUGGCUUUAUAACUUGGCUAGUCAUUCACAAUAUGUUGCAAAUAUUGGAUCCGACAUUGACAGCACUUGUAUGCUAAGGGGACAACAUGAAAAAUCUCGAAUGCCCUUGCUUUUUUAAGUGUGUAUUCUCAAAGCAGAUUUUGGGAACAAGUUUUACAGCUACUCCCAAUUCCUAGGUAUGCAAGUGAUUGGAAGGAUGAAUUUAUUUGGAAUGCAACAACUUGUUAUCUUUGGAGAGAGAGGAACUUCGCGAAGCAUGAAAAUGUAUUACCUCAAGCUUGCCGUGAUCUUGAUGCAGUUGUUUUUCUUUCCCUGUAAAAGUCUCUCUAGAAGCUAUGAUUCUGGAUGGAAAUGAGACAGUUACUGCUGAUGUUAAGUGUUUGUGGAGAAAUUGGUGAGUUCUUGUUGGCUAACUUUGCUGUAAUAUGGUAGCAUGGUUUUGCAUCUUGUUUUUAUGGGUAGUAUUUUGCUUUUGCAAUUGGUAGUGUAUAUGGGGAAGACUAUGAUUUCAUGUUGUCAUUUGAUGUGCAGUGUACUCAGAUUGAAAGUCAACUUGAUGAAUUAUCAGGCUUUCCCAUUAUAAUAGGUUCCUCAAAAGGAUGUCCCAUUGAUCCGCCGGUGCUGAGUAAAAGGGCCAUCGCUCAGCAGAUAAAUGUUACUUUAGGGAUAGCAGACUGAUCUUCCCCAAGAGUUCACAUCGACGAGAAGGUUUGGCACCUCGACUAAGCUGCAUAUGUGGGACAUUAUGCUGCAAUUAACUCAUAUGGGAUGUGACCUCCCUUGUAUUUUCUUCUACAGGUUGUCCAAUAAAAUGAAAAUUUACUUAUAAAAACAAAUGUGCAAAGUUCAUGCUCAACAAAUGCUGUUCAAACAAUAGACAUGCGGAAAUUUUAUGAACGCUGUUUAUCUUACCAGUUUCGGAACAGCAUUCUUCAUUGAGCUCAUCUGUUGCAUCAUCUCUUUGAGAUCAUUCUCCAUGGAACUACACCAUGGAAAUUGACAUUGGGAACAACUGCAGUCUUGUGGACUUAUUCGUAACAAAUAGACAAAUAUCUAGAGGUAACACUCUAGUUACUAGUACAUAUGAAUGUCAGACCCAAUUACCAGACUCAUCAGAUGCAUUCCCUUAACCUACUGUGACAAAGAAAAGCCAACAUAAAGCAGGAAGACAUAUUUAUGCGGUACAAAGAUAACAGAAGCAAGUAAAGUUAAUUAGCAGCUAUCUACAAAUGCACCGUCCUUUCAGUGAUCGACAAAAAGAUGUAUAUUCAGGUUUUACACUUUGCUGAACAGAAUCAUGGAUCAAUUACUAAUGAUACUCAAUGACAUUUCUAGUUGGCAAGACGAUACACAUGGAAAUUCCCCUAGAGGAAUCAGUUGAUGCAGAUUUAGCAAGAAACUAAACAAAAUAUAUUCACCUUUGACAGCAUUCGACCAAGUCAGAUUUAACAUGCUCCCACUCUUCUCUGAACUCUUCCCUGACCUGUCCAGCAAAGAGCAAUAGCGAAGAAUUACGUUGCAAUUUGUCACGUAUAAAUCUCAUUCAAGUUUCACAUCACACGUGUUCUCAUUGUCCUCCUUCAACACGCAAGUUGUCAUUGACCACAUUUUCCAAGAUUCAAGGAAAAAAUUAUGUCCAAGCCACUUCAUUGAAAAUCUGGAUCUUUUUGUGAUCCGUACUGUCCGAAACAACAUGAAAAGCCUAAAUCAUGUUCUUAGUGAAAUUGCUUCACAGGAAAAGCCUAGAAGUCAGCGGGUCAUUUUUACCACUCAAAACGAUCAUUUUCUACUCAUCUUGCAGCAAUUUCUCAUGCGGAUUUCUAUCCGGAAACUGACUGGAAGGUCAGAAAUGCGUACAACCGCUCCUAAUUGAAGAGAUCAGCAAUUGAAGCACAAUAAAGACUGUAUUUUGUAUGUCCAAGUUGGCUACUUUACUCAUCUUACCACUCUCCGGACACGGUCCUCUGUCAACCAGCUCCUCGGCACAAGAUUUCUCGCGGACCAACGCCAUGUUUGACUGCUUGAAGAUCAGGUCAGCACAAAAGUACAAUCAAGAUGGUACGAUUUGGCAAACAGGACAGCAAAGUAACCCAGUAACAAUAACAGCUCACUGGCUAUGUAAAAGUUUCCAAGAAAGUUUAAUUCAAAUCAGGAGGAAAUAAUGCGAUUGGCCCAGGCCGAAAUCGCAAAACAGAGUCGAGACGGCAACAUUGGAGGUCUUUAUGCUUCGUAUCUUAUCCACAGCUUAAUCCCACGAACAAAAAACAGAACAAAAGCGAUUUAGAACUGUCACGAGGCAAAAGCUAAUCAAUGUUACGCUUCAACGCAGGCUUUGCCAUAGUUUCACAUUCCAAUAAUCUUCAACUCAAGGACUCUUCAAUGAGUAUCCCUCGAGUAAAGCUAAAACGAGCACCAUCAUCAAAUAAUCGAUCAAGCAUCGAAAUCUGGAGAGGGAAGAGCGAGCUUACUUCGUUCCAGCGGUGCGUGGCCGCUUGAGUUGACUUGGUCGACCUGAAGAAGUGGAAGCCAAAGCUCUCUUCUGCAUCAACAUGAUUUCCUCCUUUGGUGGAGCUUUUCAAGAACUUGGAAGGAUUUGAUCGCUGAACAAACGGGAACAGAAUAUAGCAGAAACGAUGAAGUAUUUAUGCACGAACUCAAACUCAAAGCAAUGAUUCGGUAAUCAUUGUAGUUUUAUUUCUCUGAAGGAAUUAGGCCUGUCAUUCUCCAAGAAAAGCGAAGAACAUUUCCCGGAAAUGCUGCCGGAUUAAGAAAUAAUUUUUUCCUAGACUCUAGCAAUUGACAAGAAAAAGAAAUCCUACACGCCGCUUUCAAUCACACGUGGCUACUACUAAUAAAUGAUGACGACUAUAGAUGUGUUUUAUUAGUUAUUUAUUUAGAAUAAAUAUGUGCAUUCGAGACCCAUCCAUAGGUAGUCGUGAUAGUUGGACUUCACUACUUCAUUGUCGAGGGAACGAGUUUAAAUCUCCGGAUGCUCGCAACCUUAAUGGGGUUCUAGCGGUGGUUUACUGGGCUAGCCUCCGAUGAUUUACGUCUAAAUAGCGGCUUGUGCCGCAAGCUCCACCGGUGUUACUGAGUAUCGGAGGAUCGUGUGAUCUCCAAAGGAUGAUCUCCAGUGAUCCCUCAAUCAUAAAAAAUAAUAAUAAAUAAAUAAUUAUGUUCGAUGGUCCCUCAGUCAUAAAAAAUAUAUAUAUAUUUGCAUUCAAGAAAUUUUGUAUUCAAAUUUAUAUGGAUCUUCAUAAAAUUGAUGAUUUCAAAAAAAAAAAUUAUUGUUGCUUGAUUUGUUAUGCAAGUUUUUAUUUUUUGAUUUAUAAUACAAUUGAUGACAAAUCAUUAUAUUAUUAUUUUACGAUUAUGAUAUUAUCGCUUUUUGACAUGCUUCCAAGCAAUUAUACAUCUGUUUAAUAUAAUAUUAUGUUCUGAGCCGCAUAUUAUUUGCCUGAUUGGUCAAAAGUAUUAAAGGGUGUGGAUGCCCGUGCUUCAUCCUGGAGGACGAAUAUUAACAAAAAUUUCUAUUAAAAAAAAAAAAAAACGGAUUUAAGUGAGCUCUUUCGUCUCGCCAUGGCGGUCGAACUUCGGCCUCUCGCUUGCUCGAGUUUCCACGCCAGUUUGAACUGGUUGGUCGUUGCGCGUGCGAGUGGAGAAGAAGAGGACAACAUAUAUGCAGCGGCACGACCUACCUGGGUGAUUUUCCGUGAAAAUCAGUUCCCGUCAAUUUUUCUGGAAAAUGCUUUAUGUUCCCUGUUUUAAAUUUUUUUUGGUUCAUUAUGAUUUGACGGCCUCGUCCUGUUUGGUAGUUUUCAGAUCUAUGACUAACACUCGAAAAAUGCUUUGAUGGAACCAGGAAAUUGCAAUGUUCAAUUGUAGGCCUUCUGGAUCGGAGAGGAUCGAUUGCGGAUUGGCGAAUAAUUGGACUCGUAAGAAUUUUCAAAAGCGAAAGUCAUGCAUAAGACCAAUUUUUUUUUUUUUGGGUCAAAAUAGAAGUGACUAUUACUUGAUUAAAUAGGAGUCUUACAAACCACAAAAGGGGAAAGAUCUGCACAUAAAAUAUUCCAAAGGGGAAAAGGGGGGGAAGACACCCAAUUACGUGGAAGGGUGUUUAGUCGAUGGUGACGUGCAAUCCAAUCCGCCGCUGCGUUAGUUUGGCGUGGGCUAUGUUGGAGAAAUCUUCUUGAAGUGUUUUGAAGUUGACAAAACGUUUCUAUCAGUCUAGUCUGAAGGCUUGCAGACUCUGCUAUUUAAAGUCUGAAGACCUCCGGAUAGCCAGACUCAAGACUUAAAGUCUAUCCUCAUUGACAGUCUCUAAUCCGUUGAAGAAAGGUUAUCCAGAACUGGAUGUUUCGUUAAUGAUUUAACCUUAUCAACUGGAGAAGAUCGUGGCUGGAGAAGACAUAACGGAGUCCUUUGAUUGAUCGAAGAUUGACUCGAUAAUUGAAGAUCCGGUAAUUGCCUAAAUAUUAUUGGAAGGUUUUGCUUAUGGAAACCGAGAUCCUGAUUGUAUGAGCGAACAGGAUUGAUGAGCUAUCAACAUGUUCCUUUAAUAUCUUGAACAAUCUUCCUAAUUGAUUCCGUCCAACGGGUAGAUUUGAGGAAUUCCUUUGGUAAGUGCCAACGGGUAUGAUGGCAUAAAGGAGUAUAUAAGGAAGACUGUCUUAGUUGUUCAAGGUGUGCGCGAUAGAAGAAUUCCAAAGUCUGAAACUCCUUUUUUUUAAGCAAAUCCUUUGAGCGAAUACUUGUAUACGAAAGAGAGAGUCUAUAUUUGUGAGAAAUCUUGAGGAGGUGUGGUAGAACAUCUACACCGUGGAAUCAAGGCAAAUCUGUAACUUCUCUUUUGUUCAUAGUGGAAUCCAGCCAAUAGGCUGUCAGUGAAGAAGAGUGGACGUAGGCUUGAUAUAAGCCGAACCACUAUAAACCGCUUGUUCAAUUUUCUCUUCUCUCAGUCUUACUUUAAUUAUCGUUUCCUUCAACUGUCUAGUAUUGUGCAAUUGUUGAAGAAAAAUCCUUUAUAUACCUAUUCACCCCCCUCUAGGUACUCAUACUAGCAAUAUUAGGCUAUAAAUCACCGUGAAAUUGUUGUUCUGCUGAAGCCCAUGCGUACACCUUUGGACAAUUUCUUUAAGAUCCCAUGAAGGUGAUAACCCAAUUGACUGCUGAAAUUUAUAAGUUCAACACUUAACGCGAUUAAGAUUGUCACAACUUUAGACGCUUUAAACAUAAUCAACUUCAAUUGAAUUAAGAGAGGAGUUACUUCAAAAUUAAUGGGUGAUGUGAAGUCAAUUUCCAAUCAAUUGAAAAUGAGAGAGAGAGAGAGAGCCAAAUGCUUACCUGAUCCUCACCAUGCACACGUGAAAAUGGUAGGUCAUUGCAAAUAUCUGAGGUACGAUGGUGUACCGACAUUGAAUAUUUUUAGAAAGUCAGGUCAAUCCAGUCGCCGAUAAUUUAUGUGAGUGGUCCCAUGCUUAACUCUUAAGUCAUUCUUCUACAUUUUUUUUUCUAUUAAUACUAGGAAAAACUCCAAAUUAAUAAAUUUAUAAUAGAUUUAUCAUCUAUUAAUUUUUGUUAAAUUUUACCAUCAAAAUUUCGAAUUGGAUGACACGUGAUAUUGACGAGUAUACCAAUUUAGCUUUUUACCUUCCGUUUGUCACAAAUUUAUCAGUUUUUGAUUUUUUGUCGUAUUGUUCUAAUUUAACGAAAAUUAAAGAAAAGUAAAUUUAUCACAUACGUAUCAGUUUGUGAUUUUUUAUGGUGAAAAAAUAAGCUUAAAAUAAAUUCAUCACAAGUAUACCACUUAUGAAUUUUUGGUGUUCAAAAAAUUAAUUUUAGAUAAAUUUAUUAUAGAUAUAUCAAUUUUUGGUUUUUCAUAGAAUUAACCCCCCCUUUUUUUAGAAAUAUAUGCUUCCUUUUAUUAAAUCCCGAGUUGAAAUUUUUCAUUUUUCAUAGAUAUGCAAUCUUGCUAUUUUAUUACGUUGCGAUUGAACAUUACACUUUCAUGAAUGUCUUGGGCUUUUUUUGUAUUAUCAAUUAAUAAAUUAAGUUGCUAUUACUUAAUACCACCGUUACCAAAACUCGGGAAUUAUAGUUAAAAUUCAAAUGUGCUGGCAAUCUCGCUCCCUAUAAGCUAGCUUUCUGGCUCUUUCCCCGACCAUAUAAUUGGAUAAUUUAAAUUUGAUAACGAACUAAUUGUCGCAACAUCAUAGAUUUAUGUGUACAACCUUUUUAUACUUAACAAUCUCGUUUCUCCCUCCUCAUCCCACAAGGAACAACAUCGUUCCAUCAUCACACGCAGAAGAGCAUACUCCCAUAUAAAUUCGAGCAGGAGGGACGGUUUGCCCCACUGCCACCGUGGGCUUUUCAAUUAUUUAUUAUUAUUAUUUUUUUGUGCCUGAGAAAUCGCUUUGGCCAACAGCCACCACACAUAAACCCCCAUAUGAUGCUAGCCCAGGACCUACCACCAAGGCACCACGCGUAACACACCUAAUGAUCUGCCAGCUUCCUUGCAACUUGCAUUGUAGGGGCUUCGAACAUCUGACCUUUCCCUUCAUAGGCAGGAGUCUACUCGGCAGAGCCACCACAGCCGAUGGUGUGGGCUUUCAAUUAUUAACCUUCACUCAACUCAUGCCUGCCACAGUCAUCGAGUGAGCAAGAAAGAAGAGACAGAUUGUAGAUAAGACUAAAUUGAGUAUUGAAAUGCACUGUGGUAUAGCUUAGCACCCGACCUCAAAAAUGUUACUGAGAUUGAUUCCAAAUCAUUUCUCGUGAACAAUGUAGAUAAUUGUGAUUAGGGAAAGAGAACAUGAGGAAGCCCAAGGAGUGAUUCUCAAAUUCCUGGAAAAAGUAGAUAAAGAUGCAAUUGUCUAGGAAUCUGAAUACGAAUUCUACGGAUAUAAUGAACAAAAAUCAAUAAAUCAAUCAGUUAAAUUGAAGUACUAAUGAAAUACUAACAACGAAAUCUUUACUGAAAGGCAUUUGUUUGUGAUAAACAUUAGACAAUUGAAUUAGGUUCGGCUGGCUAGCCCGCAAUGGGUUUGCAACUUCAAGAGUGACUGCUAAUAGAGGGCUUUCGGUUCCAAAUGUUUAGUUCAUUAAGACCUGCUUUUUUCUAUUUUAUAAAUAUGUUUUGGGCCCUUUUCACGAGGAUUAGGGUCGAGACUAUGAAUAUGAUAGGUUAGUCGAGAUCCAGGUGCUAAUAACCCUUGCUUCUGGUUGAUGGAGGAAGAAAGGGUAAAGGAAAACAAAAAUAGAGAAAAUUUAUUUAUAUAUAAGAACAAAGUGUAGAGAUAGUCUAUGUCAUCGUUGAUCAUGCCGUGUAAGAUAGUUAACACUAAUCGAACCGUUAUAUUAAUGAUUUCCAACCGAAAUUGACCGGAAAAACUGUAUUGACAAAUCAUAAAAAAAAAUCAUAAUCAAACUGGUCAAAUUAAAAUAUUAAAAAUUUAAUUGAUAUCAUCACAAUAGAUUUUUUAAUCUUUUUUUAUAAUUAUCCUAGAAUUUAGGGAACAAGACGACAAUCUAUUCAUCCACCAAAUCAAAGUAUAUAACUUUUGGAGUGGCUGCCUUUUGUAAUGUUCGCAGGAGUGGGCUUACGACGCAUGAUUUUUUAAGAAAAGUGACUUUUAUGGAACAUUUUCCGGGAAACCUUGCCGUUCUAGAGAUUUCUUUUUAGUUUCUUUUAUCUGAUUUAGGAAAUUGGCCCCCUCAACCUUUUGAAGUAGUAUUUGCAAUAAUUUUUUAAAUAGGUGUGCUUAAAAUACUAAAAUUCAUCAUGAAAAUAUAAUUGAAUCAUAAAAUUAAAAAAAUGUAAUUAAAUUCUAAAUUUGUCAAAUUGAUCCAAUCAAGUCAAUUUGUUUAAAAAACACUGACGUGACUUUUUUAUUAUUAUUUCUCUCUCCUAAAUAGCAAUGAUGUGACUCUUGCAUGAAACAUAAGGCUAAAAUAAUGUCAUUUUGGUCCAAAUAUAAUUUUUUAAUACAUUUUAUUUAUAUUAUAUUAAAAAAUAAGGUAACUUCAAAUAAAUACAGAAAAAGAAAAAAAAAAAGGAGGAAAACACAGUUGAGGACUAAUGUGGUCCAAAUUUAAAUUUUUAAUACAAAUUUUAUUUAAUAUAUUAAAAAUAAGCUAACUUUAAAAAAUACCAAAAAAGGGGGGGAAAACCUAGCUCCCCACCACCGGCGGGAAGGGCCAGCAACGGUCACCACUAGUCUAAAUUUUUUGCAGUGAAGCAUGCAUGUUAGUGGCAUUUUUUCCUGUGAUGUACGACCACCAUUGUCGUAUAUUAACCAAAUGUCCUCCACCAUUCCUUAAUAGAUUACCCCCUUCGGUAGCGGCAUGUACUAACCUUCUCUUGUCAUCAGUAAAAAUAAUUUCUAAGCAUUUUUGCUUUCAUCUAAAUACUAAUAUCACAAAAAAUCUCAAACCAAUACACCCAUGCCAUAUUUAUCUAAAAAUUAUUUAUGCUAAAUUAACUUUUGUAUUACAAAAAAUCUCAAAUUAAUAAAUUAAUAUCAUAUUUAUCCCAGAUUGACUUUUAUAUAAGAAAAAAUUUCAAAGAUUGAUAAUUUGGGAUAAAUUUGGUGGACAUAUCAAUUUGAAAUUUUUUGUGACAUGAAAAUACAUUUAAGAUAAAUGUAAUACAUUUAAGAUAAAUGUAAUGAGUGUAAAAUUUGGAAUUUUUCAUGACAUGAGAGUAAAUGUGAGUGUACCAAUUUGGUUUUUUUUUUUUUUUUUUUUGCAAAAAUCAGAUUGUAUUGUCAGGUUGAGAGGUAAUCCCAUGUAUUUAAGUGUACAUAAUAAUUGAAAGAUUAAAUGCUAUUUUUAUUAUUGUUAUAUUUCCACGAAAGCUUUUGCGUCAAAAGCAGCUCCACAGUGUCCACACCCAACCCUCUCUGAAUAUUUUCUCCUCUGCGCCCGAACGCUUUUGCGUCGAGCAAGAUCCGAACAACCACCACCACCACCUCCACCACCAUCUUCAUCGGCCUGAAAAAUACCCCAAAUCCUCUAGCACUAAACCCUAAUUUCACUAGCCCCUGCCAACCAUCGCCGCGAUUAUGACCAGAUCUUCCCUCCCGGUGGGGCAUCACCAGCCCGGCCCCUCGUCGUCACCCUCAACAGCAUCGGUCGAGCACGUCCCCCUCAGCCACCACACCAUGGACUCCGCCUCCGCCAUCCUCCCCCGCGCCGCCUCUGCCCCUACCAGCUCGUUGACUCCGCCGACCGCGCCGUCAGACUCCGCCCUCGCUGCCGAGCCGGGGCUACGCCUCGUCCACGUGGACUCCUCUCGAGCUGAGGAGAUCGCUGAAGAGAAGUCCGGGGCGACAAGGAGGAGGAGCUCUCGAGGCGGAGAGAGACGAGCGAGAAGGCAGAGAAGAGGGAGGAGGCUUUGUCUCAGAAGGCGGGGAAAAAGAAAAUGAUUUCCAUCCAUUUUCUCAUAUUUUGAAGGAUUUUUCCCGGUUGACGGAAAUUAUAUUUCUUGAUCCAUUCAUUCCCUUUGAGCCAAACAGCGGAAAAUUUGGCUGACGAAACAAACGAAGCCUUAAUCAUGAAUCCACGUCCAUUAAACGUAAUUUUGUUGUGCUAGUGGGGCAUUACCAACUAUCUUAUUCUAAAUUCUCAUAAUAGUAUUCAAUUUGCCUAGUCUGCAAAAUUUUCUAGAGGCAACUCUACGGUAUUUCCAGACUAUAACGGGCAUUGAAUCUUGUUUCUUUCUUUUUUCCUGAAAGAAGUUAACCGUAAUUUAGCAGCUCCCUUCACUAACUUUCCUCCAGCCUAAUGUCUUUAAGAGUUUUCGAGAAAACCAUAUCAAGGGUUUAAAAUGUCGUUACUUUCAACCCCAAGCCACAAACGUGGGAUCCCUCCCUUUCAACAGAUGCAUGGAAGCCGACCCAUCUAUAAGGACAGUAAUCUAGUACAAACCAGUUAUCGCCAGUAAUUUGGUCCGCAAAUUCAAUCCCCUUCUUAGCCCAUGGCAUAGUAGAACUAAAAUGACAAACAGAUAUAGAACCGGUUGUACACGGAUGUGUGCUUUUACACCAACAAGCAUAGUGCUCAUACUUCGAUUUAGAAACUCAUGAUAACUAUGAAAACUCAAACUAUUGAGGUAAAUAGGAAGUCUCUGUGGCCAAUGCCCUGACUUCAAAUCCCAAAAGUUAUCCGGGAGCAAAUGACACUUGAUCAGCAGCCACGAGAUUCGAGUGGAGUUCCCAAUACUCCUCGACUUCAGUAUCUGAAGAGCAAUACAUAUAAUAUUAGAAUGCGACCACAUUUCACACACCAUGAUUGCUAAUUUCUCAUGACCAUAGAUGAAUAUCCAGUGAAUGUUACACUACUAAUCAGGCCAUCACUAUGUCCUCUACAGGUUUUCUGAGAUAUUAGUAUGCAUUGGCCAUGGAAAUUACACUUUGAUCAGUCUUUAUCAUCAGAUAAGUGAGAUAAUGCAACUGCUACAGAGAAAUAAUCAGAAGUAAUAUCUUAGAAAACACCUAAAUAACUCUCUUUGUAUACAACUACAACAUUUGGUAAGUUGACUAGGCUCAAUCAAACCCCUAAAAAGAGCUUACCAGGGUGAUAAAAUUGAGUCAAGUAUCAUACUUGAGAUGCCAAAUGAUUUAGCCUUUCAAAUGAGCCAGCUUCACAUCUACUUGUUUAGUUCCCAAAUGGGAUUGAUAAUAGCAGAUAUCACAAAAAUAUCCCUCUUUUAAACUCAUUAAAUGGGUUCCUAAUGUGGUCAGGUGUUGAGUGUUUUUUUUUUUUUUGGCACUCUCUCUAUUGGCAGAAAAAAUAAAGAAAAAGGACAAACUGCUUUCCUUAAGGAGAAGAAAUGAGCUAAUGCACUUCCUACUCUUCCAUACACAAGCACGAAUCUGUCCGCUGAAAAAGGAUUGCGACAGAAACCAAAGCCGUAUAGGUGAUAACGUUCUCCUUUCAUUCCAGCAAAUGAUGCUCUCACCACAUUCAUUAUCACGGCUAAUAGUAAUUCUGCCUAUUUCCAGUAUAGAAGUCCCAAACUUUCUUCUCAAUUUUUUCACAAGACAGUAUUAGACAAUACCAUAACACAACACAAUCGACUACAUUACAGGGAGAAAAUUCAACUUACUGGGAGCUAGGAAGCUUGAUGAUGGCCCGUAGAGUUGUCCGUAUGGCUGUAUAUUUGUAUUUGUUGAAGGCUCCGUUUGGUUCGAACUGUAAAAACUUUGGUUCCACGUGGCAUUUUGGGAAUUGAGACUCUGUAAUUGUAUUGGCAAUCCAGCAGAAGUAAUACCACCGUUUCCUGGAGAGAGAGAGAGAGAGAGAGAGAGAGAGAGAGUUUGAACUAUCAGAAUUUUGUCGCAUAUAGACAUGGAUAUGAGCUAUUAGAGGCGAUAGUGUUUUCUGCUUUCGUGCCAGCAAGUCAUACUCUCACCCCAUUCAUCAUCAUGGCGAAUAUUAGUUCUGCAUACUUUCUUAUAGACGUCCCAAUUUUCCACAAGACUGGAUAAAACAAUACGACGCCGCAAAGCAAUCAACAUUACAGGCGGAAAAUUCAACUUAUUGAAACCUUGGAAACUUCCGGAUGGCUGUACACAAGGCUCCAUUUGGUUCAAACCACCAAUAAUCGGGUUCCACGUGGCAUGUUGGGAAUGGAGACUUUGUGGUUGUAUUGGCAAUCGAGCAGCAGUCCUACCACUGUUUCCUGUGGAGAGAGAGAGGGGACAGAGAGAGAGAGAUUUAAACGGUCCUGAAAUACGUUUGAAGAACCAAUAAUUAUGACAUUACGACUAAAUUCCCUUCUCGAAGAUGCAUCAUCCAUCGAUUUCGAUUAAUUUGAUUGAGGCCCUAAAAUACACCUCAAGAAAACCAAAUAAUCAGGACAUUGCGAUUAAAUACUUCAUGAGAAAUGAUAAUAAUCACUGAUGGUCCUCCAUUGUAAAAUAUUUCGGCAUAGUCUUGUUUGACUCCAUGUCACUAAUGGAACCGCUGAUUUCAAUCACCUCCGAAGCCAUAUCAUCAUCAUCGGCAUUCUUGUAAUACUCACUAAGGGUGUACCAUCAUUCGAGUUGAGUGUUGAGUGUUUUUUUGGCACUCUCUCUAUGGUUGCUCUUUGUGCAUUUCUUGGCAGAAAAAAGAAAGAAAAAGGACAAAACUGCUUUCCUUAAGGAGAAGAAUUGAGGUAAUGCGAUUCCUACUCCUCAUUACACAAGCAAGAAUCUGUCCGAUGAAAUAGGAUCAUAACCCUAGGCCAAAGCCGAAGAGGUGAUAACAAUCGACUUUUGUUCCAGCAAGUUAUAUUCACACCACAUAUAUCAUCACAGAGAAAAUUCAUUCUGCAUAUUUUUAGUGUGGAAGUCCCAAUCUUUGUUCUCAAUUUUUCCACAAGGCAGGAUAAAAAAUAUUAUGCCGCGAAGAAAUUGACAUUGGAUGGAGAAAUUUCAACGUACUUAAAGCCGGGAAGCCUGAUGUUGACCCGUACAGUUGUCCGAAUGGCUGUACAUUUGUAUCUGCUGAAGGCUCCAUUUGGUUCAACGGGGCAUUUUGGGGAUUGAGACUUUGUGAUUGUAUUAGCGAUGGAGCAGCAGUAAUGCCCCGAUUUCCUGGAGAGUGAUAUUAAAAAAAAAUUAGUAUCCGAUUGAUGAAUCCCAUAAUAGAAAUGUGGCAAGCCAGGAAAGGCAAGUCUCCUAGGUGUGGGAUCAACAUGGAGUCCAUAAGUUCCUAAUGUUGUGAUUUAUACCGACAGUUCACCUAAAUAGAUUUAGGUCCCAAAACCCAAACCAAUAAUUAGGGCAUUGCAAUCACAUACUUCGUGAGAAACGAGAAUAGACAACAAUGCUCCUCCCUCAUAAAAUAUUUCGUCAUAUUCUUGACUGAUUGUAUGCUACUUUUGGAACAGUUGAUUUUAAUCACCUCCAAACUCAUAUCAUUGGAAGCCAGUAUAUUUCCCUCCCAAAGAUGUACGCUACUGUGAAAGGUUUUAGUUGCAACAUAUCACUUUGAUGAUCUAAAAUCACAAAAAAAAAAAAAAAAAAAAAGUGGCUACAUCUCAGCUAGUUUUUAAUUAUAGGCAAAUUUUUCUUUUCCUCGUAGUCAAUUAGAGCACAUACCUUCCACUGUGGAUGCUGAAGUUCUCAGAGGUACUUUCAAACCAACAUCACUGCCCAAUCUCGGUGGAGGCGUAUUGUUGUGAUCUGAAUGGAGGCAUUGUUGAUCUCCUAGAACUUCAUACAGAAAAGAACACGAGAUCUUCUCUGACAUGGAACUUGAAGAAGCCUCAGCUUCGUAUGGUGUGACAUCAUUCCAAUUCUCAUAGGCCUUUUUCACCAAUUUAUCUGCACAGACCUGGAAGACUCGAAAAUUACUACUUCCUCAACCAGUCGCUUUAUCAGGGUUAUCUUACAACCUAGGUGACUCAAAUAGGGCUGGACUCGUAUGGAUUCCAAAGGCACUAAGAAGAUGUGUCUAUAUGUUCCCUUUUUUCUCAGACAGACCAAACAAGGUAGGAAGAUGCAAAGUUGGUGGUCAAAAUACAUAUAAGGAAAGCAUGGACAUCAAGUUCACAGAAUUUGAUGAAAGCAACAAAAAGCAUCUCGACUUGAAAGUACCAUAACAUGGUGAAUGAGUCAAAAACUUAGAACGCUGUAUGAGCAUAGAGUGCUCCUAAGCUGCUAACUGCACUCCUCGUGUUGCGGGUGGUGGUUGUGGUCCCAGAGGGCGCUUCUGGCGAUGUCUUCUCAAAGGGUGAGAGCGAAAGAAGGGGGCAACCUUUGGAGGAGUUUGAAUAGGAUGUGGAUGGAGAUUCAUUGGCCUUGGUGCUGAUGGGGGUUGAUGAGGCAAGAUCCUCUUUUUAUCAUUUCCAUUAUUGAAUCGCUUUGAGGUAAACAAUGAGGAGGAUGCCUCCUUUUGGGUGUUUAACAAUAUCAAGGCUGUUGGCCAGGUCCUUGGAGUCUCCUUCCAAGGGUUCGAAGAUACAGCUAUGAGUCUUUUCAAGGAGCUUGAGAAUGGAAAUGAUGGCCCUGAGCAUUUUAAGUACUCGAAAAAACUCGGGGAAUUGAAACGCCUUCAGUGUUCCAACAAUAAUGAUAAAACUCCUGACAGAAAAAGGAGGUUGUGAGAGGUAGCAGUGGAAAGGGCUCUUCUUUGUUUAUAUAAAGGUCAAUAUUAGGUCUGGGAUUGUCAGGGGGUUCAAUGAUGGAGACAAGAGAGUGGUAAUAAAAAAUUUCAUCAAAGAAUGGAGACGGGAUGAGGUGUCAUUAGGAGACUAAAAUGGAAGAUUGUCAGUUGGAUGUUGCCAGGAAAACUCUAUUCUGAGACUUCGGUAUGAUGGAAAGUUUUGUGUGCAUGUAAAUGCUUUAAACGACAUUGUAGAUGAUUUUUAUUUUAAAUGAGCUCUUUUGGUGCUAAGCCUUUCUCUACAUGGCUUUGCUGAGCUUGGUGCCUUUUAGUGAUAUUUUCUUUUACCUAUAAAAAAUAGUAGAAGAUUAUCAUCAGAGGAACUCUCUUUUUUGUUUGUUUUUGCUUUUCCCCUGGCAUUUGCAAAGCUGAUUAAAACAGCUUAGCAUUGGAGACACCCCCGUAAGGAGCUCGAAAUUGCGAUCAUCAACAGAAAAUAAUCACUAAUUCAACAUAAUUGAAUGCACCGAAUUUUUAGAAACAGCUAUCUGAUUAACUAUCAUGCCUAUGCUAUAUAGACAAUGUAGAUAAAAUUUUAACUGAUAAUCUGAAGUCGGGGGUUGUCCCUUUCAGAUUGCAUGGCAAACACCAGAAAAGGUAGAAUUUCUUACCUUCUGCUGGGGAGAAAAUAUGUCAGCAGCAUAAUACACCCCGCCCGCAGUUAGGCCACUGACUUGACCAAUGCUGUUGAAUAUAACACCGUGAUCAUUUUUAUUAUCGUGAUAGUACACGUAGGGUUUCCCAUUCGGAGUGCAAGUUUUUGCAUGAUCUAGGAGGGCUUGCCACAUCUUCUCUGUCAUGCGUAGAAUCUGCAAUGAACAAACACCCCAUUACCCUUCCUGGUUUAGGGAGUUCAAUCCUAAUUGAGAUUUUUAUGAGCAAAAUCUCACAUUUCUCAGUUUCUCAGAGUCCAUGAAGUGUCGUCGUAAAAACUUUUCCACAUUAUCUAUUCCUUCGUCAAUCAGCCGCUUGUGAAAUGGUCCACCCUUUGCGAUACUUUCCAAUCUCCAGACCUUAUCAUUAGAUGCUGGUGGAUAGUUUUUCUGGGUUGCUAUAAAGUGAAUAGAAGGUGAGAUCCAAAAAAAGCUUCUUGCGCAACUAAAAACUCUUAAAGCUAUUGUAUGAAGAAAUGAAACAGAUUAGCUAAGGAAGAUCUUAUUCCAAACCCAGCCCUGGCCAAAAUUCUCCAGGUGUUUGAAGCUUUUGUAUCCUGCAAGGUGAAGAUAACAAAGUCAGUAAGGUCUCAGUCGCUAUUAGAUUAAUGAGUAGCAGCAAACAUCUUAUAGUCGUUCAAACCUCUUCUGGAAAGGAUCCAUAAGUAAGCUCCUCCGAAGCAGGACAAUUUAUCGCUACAACAGAGCAGACACUAUAUCCUUUUUUUGGUUGGUUAGAAAAAAGCCGACCCUCUUUUUUUUUUUUUUUUUUGGGUCGUAUACAGAAUCGCAAGUAAUAGAAAAAUCUUUCACUGAUGUCGAGCAUCUCGACUAUUACAAACCUGUGAAAUCAAGCUCUUGAGUGGCCAUGUCCAUGAGCUCUUGCAAGUUUAUUUCUGAUGUGGCGGUUGUUAUUAAGAUUGAAAUAAAAAAAUUAAAAAACCUACUUAAGAUUUUUACAUUAGAUAGAUGGAAGGGAGCCAAUAUAAGGAUUGAACUAUACUAAAGAUUUAUGAUUUAACUGUACUUUUUGAAAGGUGCUAGAGUCUAAAACCAUUUUAUGCGACACUGUAAAAGUCAUAUAUACCUUUUGUCCUAUGUUCUUUGACAGAGAAUAAAUGUGUUUUUGCUUCUCGGAUUCGUGUAUUUUUACCAUCACUCGAUGCCACUCUGAGCCCUAUCCUGAACCUUUUGCUUCGAUUCCAGCUGGAAUUGUCAGUAAACAUCAAGUCUUCCAGCUCCCCAACACCUGCCUUUAGCUUUACUUGGAGCUUUCCUUUCAAAAGCGGCCCCUUUCCUUCUCGCUCUUUAACCACGUAUCUAUCAAACUCUUCUGGAGCCCAAUUUUCCUCAUCGUCUCUGUUGAAGUCACCUUCAAGCACAACGACGUCCAACUUGAUGGAGGCCUCUGGCCCUGAUGUAACGACAUCCCCUGUAUCUGCAUCGAUCAACUCAACGGAAAUGCGAGCACCACCCUCUCCUUCUAGUUUCUCCCCAGUAAAUAGAGGAAGGGAGAGUUUGUUUCGAAGUUGAAGCCGUAAGUUUCUUGCAUCAUUCUUCGCUGUAGAUUCACCAUUAGCCCUGCAUUCUCUCGAGAGAACAACCAUUAGCAAUAGGAACGGGUACAGAAGCGGGAAAUUGGAAAAGUAAGUAUAGAGAGAGACAAACUACUAACAAUGAAUGUGCAUUCGUACCUUGCAAGGUGGGGAGAGCGAAUGUUCGCAAGCUCCACUGCUUCCGCCUGGCAAAUAACGCCAACAGCAGAAUUACCGAAGUUGGAGACCUCAAAAAAAAAAAAAAAAAAAAAAAAUGAGGCAGAAGGGAUAUGUCCGAGACAAAGUGCAAAUUCAAUAACUUUGUUUAUCUUACCAGUUUCUGAACAGCAUUCUCCAUUGAGUCCAUUCGUUGCACUAUAUCUUGGAGAGCAUUCCUGAUGUGACUGCACCAUGAAAAUUGACACCGUGAACAAUGGCUGUCUUGUGGACUUAUUCGUAAUAAAUAGGAAAGGUGAGCUUCUCAAUGGCUUGUUCUCUGUGAUUCUUAGAGCUGAAGAUGAAACUGAUCAGACCCAUGUCGAGUGCACCCCAUGAGGAUCCCCAAUUACAGUAUAAAAAGAUGGAUACCCAACUCAUCAAAUGCAUUCCUUUAAUCUAAUGUGACGUAGGGAAGUCAACACAAAGAUGGAAUACAUAUUUAUCCAGUACAUUGAUAAGAGAAGCAAGUAAAGUUAAUUAGUAGCCAUCUCCAUACACUGUCCUUUCAGCAAUUAACAAAAUAAUGUAUGUGCAGGUAUUACACCUUGCCGAACAGAAUCAUGGACUGAUGGCACAUGAUACUUGAUGAUUCUUUUAGUUAGCCACACAACGCAGAUCAAACUUCUGUUAGAGGAAUCAGUUGAUGCAUAUAAGAUAUUGCCAACAAACCAACUGAAUUAUAUUCACCUUUCAAAUUUUUCAGCCAACUGAGAUAUAACACGCUCUGCCUCUUUCCUGACCUGUUCAGCAAAGAGCAAUAGAAUUACAUACACAAGACGUAUUUAUCUCAUUCUAGUUUCACAUCACUGGUAUCUUCAUCGUCCUACUAUGCGCAAACUGUCAUUGACCACAUAUUCCAGGAUUCAAGCAGAUAAUUAAGUCCAGGGCAUUUCCUUUAAAUUUUGUGUAUACUUGUGAUCUGUACUGUCCAAAACAAUAUGAAAAGCCUAAAUCAUGUUCUUCACAAUAAAACCCUAGAAAUUUUCAAACGACAGUUCUCUGUACAUCUUGCAGCAGGUUCUCAUGCAGAUUCUAUCUGGAAACUGACUGGAAGGUCAGAAAUGCAUCCUACCAAUUCUAAUUGAAGAGAUUAUCAGCGAUUAAACAACAAUAAUGACAGUAUUUGUAUCUGUAAGUAGGCUAUAUUAUUUAUCUUACCUCUCUCUGGACAUCCUCCACUGUCAAACAGCUACUCAGCAAAUUGCUCUCAGACCCGUUCCAUACUUGACUGUGUGGAGAUCAGCAACCAAAAAAAAAGGGAAAAGAAAAGAAACAAAAAAAGCAGAGAUAGGAUUAUUUAGCAAACAUGAUAUCCAAGGGAAUGAUAACAGCCCACUUGCACGGUGUAAAAACCUAAAAGGAGGAAGUACUGCCAUUGGCCUAAUGCGAACUCGCAUAACAGAUUCAAGAUGACAAUAUUGAGGUCCUUAAUUUUUCACAUUAAAGCUGCAGCACAACCCAACAAAUAAAAAACUGAACGACAACGAUUUAGAACAGUCAUUAGGCAAAAGCUAAUCAAUAUUAUACUUCAACGCAGGCUUCUCCAUAUUUCUCGUUUCAAGAAUCUUCAACUCAAGAACUCAAGUAAAGCUAAAACCAACACGAUUGUCAAACAAUUAGUCAAGCAUUGAAACAUUAAGACGGAAAGAGUGAGCUUACUUGUUUGGAUCCAAGCAUUGCCUCUUGGGUUGACUCGGUUCACCUGAUGAGGUGGAAUCCAAAGCUCUCUUUUGCAUGGACAUGAUUUUUCUGUUCUUUUGUAGAGCUUGACAAGAACUGAGAAAGUGUCGGAAUUUUGGGAGUGUUUGGUUGCUGAAAGAACGCCGCAGAGUAAUGAGUUUGUAAUCACUGGAGUGCGUUUCUUUUUAUAUAUCUGGAGGAGGGGGACAUAAUUUUCCGAGAAGAGCGACGUACAUUUCCGGGAAACGUGGGCAGCUUUAGAAUUUUUCUUUUUUCUUUUCUCUAACUUUACUAAUCUGCCCGCUUGACCUUAUGAGCCAAGUCAUGAACCCUGCGUGUACAUUUUCUUUUUCUUUUUCUUUUUUCUUUUUUCCGCCUUUUGCCUAUUAAAUAAUUGAGAAUCUUAUUAAAUUGAUCUCUAAUCAAUGGAUUGCAUUGCUCGAAUAUCGAAUAUCAUUUGCUUAUGAAAAAGCAACAUGAUAUUUCAAUUAUUCGCUUCUAAUCAACGCAAUUAUAACUUAUAAAUUAUAAUAGUAAGGUAUGUGUGUUAGAGUUAUCUAUUGAGAAAAUAUGAUGUAUCGAUUUGAGGAACAUUUGAGGCAAAUUUAUAUGCCUUCAGUUAACUCUAAGCUUCUUUGCAUUCCAUUUGUGUUCCAUUUAUGAUAUCGGACAAUAUAAUUUCGAUGGCCAAUUUGUUGAAGAAAUUGAUGCAAUCUUGGGCUCUAAUAUUCAACUUGCGAUGACCGUUUUCUAUAUAUCUCUCCGACUCUUUCUAUAUUCUUUUUUCCUUCAAUUAAGGUCUUUCUCAUCGAGUCAUUAUAGAUCCGACCUGGUUAGUCAACUAGAAAAUGAAAUCUAUUAGGCAUCUGGCCCAAUGGUAAGGAAAUUAUGUUGGGUGGAAAUAUUUAGUUUCAUAUGCGAAUUUUGAUUCUCAUGUUCUGCAAAAAGAUAGUAAAAACUAGAAAAAGUGAGAGAAGAGAGUUAAAGUAGGAUUAAUAAAAAAAAUUCUAAAAAACAAAGAGACGGUAAAAAAGAGAUGCGCUCUUACUUCCAGAAAAUGUUGUGAACCUCAUUUUGUCCCUUUGGAUGCAUCUUGACAGAAGUCAGCCUCUUGCCUUUAGCCACCGCCCAAAAGGAAAAAAUGAUUAUCUUGCCUUAAUUAGGUAAAAAGCUCAGAUCCUCCAUUCUUUCGGACAGAUCAUAGGAAGGUUCUAUGAAAUGACACUUGCAUGCGUGCUUCGCUGUAGUUCGAAGGUUUAUGCCGGCCACCUUGUUUAAAAGCUCAAACGCGCAUGCCGUGAAUAAACAACGUCGCAAAAUUAGCGACUUAUCGUGUUCUUUUGGUGGUUUUAAGCUUCCAAAAUAGAGCCCGAGUGUGACAGCUUGACAACAGACGAAAGAUUUUAUUACUUUGAUUCAAUUUUUUUCAUAAAAAAUAAAUGAUAUGAAAAAUACUUUUUAAAAAAAAACAAUUGUUUUUAUUAAUUGAAAUAAUAGUCGACAAAAAUUAUUGUCAUUAUCGACAACAAAGUAGUAACUCAACAUUAUGAUAAACAAUGAAAAUAUUUUAUGUUUGUUCAAGUUUUUGUGAUACAAACAAUUAUUUUUAGGAUAAAAAAUUUCAAAUCAUUCGUUUUCCGCUAAAUAAGAAAAAUUAAUGAUACGGGAAAAUAUUUUCCACGAUAUCAUUUUUCAAGGAAAUGAGUAGUUUUCCUUUGUUUUGUGAUAUGUAAUUAAGUAUAUAUGUGUGUGUGUGUGUGUUUUGAUCUCAUUUGAAAAAUGAAUGGUUUUAAUCACAUGACUUUAUCUCAACCCCAAAAAAUAAAUUUUUAAAUCAUUUUCUUUUUCUUUUUCUCUUUUCUUUUCUUUCCUUUUGCUUUUGCUUAUUCCUUCUUCCUUCUUCCUCCAAUAGUCACCAGGCUUUGACAAUAGCUGACAAUAGAUCACAAGCGAGGCUUGACUUGGACAACUCCUUGGAGUCAACAAUGCUCUUGCCAGCAUUGUCAAUUCCUCGUUGAACAUUCAUGACACCUUAGCGAGGGCUUCCGCUCCCUUGUCGACCACGAGUGAGGGUGUCGGCCCUUACCUAAAUCCAUGUGAGGCCUACAAUACCCUCGUUGGCCAAUGGGUGAGGGUCGCAGCCCUUAUCCAAACCAGUUGAUGGCAUUAGGGCCCUUGCUAUCCUUGGGUUAGAUAAACAAAAAAGGAAAGAAAAACGAAAAAUAAAAAAUAAAAAAUUUAGAAAUCUAUUGAUAUUAGCAUCGACCAUGCCAUAUGAGAUGGUUGACGCUGACUAGAUUGUCAUGAUUGUUUCUGAUAAAUAUUGGUCAGUGACUAAAUUGACAUAUUAUCAAAAAAUUUGGAAUAAAUCGACUCAAUUGAAAGGUUUAUAGGCCUAAAUAGUAAAUACAAUAGAUUUAAGACUUUUUUGGUAAUGUUCCUUUUAUUCAAGGUGCUUCCAUCGAGCCCACAACUCCUCGACCGAGAGUUGCAAUGUCCUCCUUAUUGUUGCCGCUCUCAUCGUAGCAGUUGCCUUCCUAGUCGAGAGGCACCACCGGAGCUGUCCUCUUCUUCGAUCGUACUUUCUCAACCUCUCCAAAAUGCCUUUUGAACCCCAAAAAAAUAAAAAUAAAAAUAAAAAAGAAACUCUCCCGAAUGCCUCAAAAAGUCAUCUUGCGUAGCCACGGCGUAAAAGAAAUUACUGGAACUAGAAAAUCCAGUCGGUUUGAAGUAAUUCUAUUGAAUAGUAGAGAUCCGACCUUUAUUAAUAUUUAUGGUUAAUAUCACGAAAAACUUUAAACUGAUAUACACAUAACAAAUUUACUCUAAACUAAUUUUUUUCUCCACUAAAAACCUCAAAUUAAUACAUCUGUGAUAAAUUUAUUUAGAAUUGAUAUUUGGAUCACAAAAAAUUUCAAACAGAUACAUUUGUAACAAAUUUACCCUCCGUUAGUUUCCAUUAAAAUGAAUUAAUACAAUAAUAAACUAGAAAAUGGUACACACGUGACAAACGGAGGAUAAAACCUUAAACUAAUACACUCGUCAAUUGUCAAGUGCCAUACAACUCAACAAUUCAAUAAUAAAAUUUAACGAAAAUUAAUGGAGGAUAAAUUUGUUAUAUGUAUACCGGUUGGAGAUUUUUUGUGAUAAAAAAAUUAUUUUUAGAUAAAUUUUUCAUGAAUAUAUUAGUUUGGGAUUUGUUGUGGUAGUAAUCCUAUUUUUUUUCUAACAUCUCUUUUAGCCAAAUUAAUGAUAUAUGAGUUGUUACUAUUUAGGAGGGGACCAUCAGCCCACCAGCCCGAUCGGCGAGAAUGGUGGUCAUUUGUCUAUGGAUUAAGGGGGAGGGCCUUAUGGGCAUAAUAUUGUUUAUUUGAUAUUGCAUGUUUAUGAAUAUCUUCAUUUUUGGCAUUAUCGAUUAAUUAAUAAGUUAAUUACAUUGUUACCAAAACUUGGGAUUAAAAGAUAAACUCAAAUGCGCUGGAAAUCUCGCUCCUAUUAGCCAGAGUUCUGGCUCCUUCUCCACCCCUGCAAUUAAAUAACUUAAGUUUAAUUAUGGGUGAAGAGUCGUAACAUCAUAGAUAUGACUCGACGUCAUAAAGUUGUACCGUACAAUAAGUAUACCGUAAAAGGGUGGCCGAGAGUGAAGAGUAGUGGGGGCAUUGCUUACUAUUUGAUCUGAAUUGUCAUAACAGUACUCAAUUUGCCUAGUUUGCAAAUUUUUUGAGGUACAGCAACAUUCUUGCAGAAAAUUAAUCAAAAUUUAACAACUCCCUUCAAGGGUUUGGAGUUGCUACUUGGUAAUGAGAGGAGAGAGAAUGUUUGCUAAAUAGUUCUAGAGUAAUUAUCGCCAGUAAUUUGCUCCAUACAUUUAAUCCCUUUUUCAAGCCACGGCAUGGUAGAACUAGAAUGCCAAACAAAAAUAGAACAAAUUGAUGUACUUGUCAUGACCACCUAAAAAGAUGGGGUUUAGAGGUAAUGCUUAAAGAUGGGCCAACAAUCCUCAAUUAAGUGCGGGCUUUUCCCAGCCUAUAUCUCCUGCGACGUUAGAUUAAUUUUAAGCUUAUUUUUAGUUUAAAAGAUUCUAAAAGUCACCACUAGCCAUUUGGGAUCACCGAAAAAUCAAACGUGAUACAAGAGUUUUGUCUUGUUUUUAAUACAACCAAAGAUUAUUAAUUUCAGAGACUUGAUUAUGCUAAUGACUAAUUAGUGCCUUUUUGGUAACUAACUCAGUGUGAUUUUUCCAUCUAAGCGAUCAAACAGCUUUUUAUCAAUUAUGAGUCCUAAGGAUCAUUUGAUGUCGUUACGUGUUCAUGCAAGGUUCUUUUAGGGUUUAUUAUGUUCAUUAUGAGCUUAAAAUAAAACCCAGCCACUCAACCAAGAAAAUAAAUCACGACACAAAAAUAUAUAAAAAGCAAUCAUAGCAAGUAAAUCAAACAUUGUAAUAAGGACGAGUAAAAGAUGAAGUGUAAUGAAGUAACCCGUUAUUAGUCGAGCAAAAAAUAUAUGUAGUCUUGUUAUAGAGCCCUAGGAAAUGAUUUCCCAAGAGCUAGACGCGAAUUUAAAUCUAAGUCUAAUUCUAAACCGUAGAGACCAACUCAUUAAGAGCAACCGCUAAAUGAAACUCAAAGAGGAAACAAGCACCGAGUUUACUCUCUAAAUAACAUCUAGUCUAAGAAAAACUACUUUUAAUCAUUUUCGACGUUUCCAUCUUCUAUUAUUUCAUUCAAAGGCAUGCAAGACUUAAAUCUUCAAUCUGACUAUACUAAAUCACCAAACUAAUCUGACCAGCAAGCACCGCUUGUAGUUUUUACUCUGUCGUCUCUUCGGAGACAUCCGAUAAAAGUAGUUUUACACUGUCGACUAAGCCUCUUGUUCACAUAUAGCUCCAAUUAAGACCAAUGGAAAGCAGCGCACUAAAGUCCGGACGAAAAGUCAAUAUUUACGCCCACAACCCGUUACCUGAAGACCAAGACAGGCAGCUCAGUCAAACACAAAUAUUCACUCUCUCUUUCCUUUUUCCUUAUAAUCCACACUUCCCACUAACUCGCCCCUCCACGCUCGACAACUCCUGGCCUCCUCCCUCUUUUGUUCUUUUCAUCCCCCACUUUUCUUUCACCAACCAAAUGUUCUCCUGGCGCAAUGCCAGAACAUACAGAGCAAGGAAGAGAAACACCACUCGGUAUUGCUUGAGAAUAAUAAAAAUAUUCCCAGCGAUAAUAUCAUCCCCGUGAUUAAUAAAAGGGACAUUUGUGUACAUGAAAGCUGUUCAGACGUGAUUUGUGCUUCCAAUCAACAGGAAAACACUAUGGCCUUUGGGCUUUUUUGUGCCAUCUAUAUAUGUAAGCUUUUUUUUUUUUUUUUUUUUUUUGUAAUUGAUAGUUGUAAUAGAGGAGUGAAAGGUGCUGAUUGUAAUGAAAUUAUCUACUAGAUGUAACCCUAAUUUAAUGAUAAAUCAAAUAAAACCUUAUAUCUCAAUUUCUCUUUCCCACACUUCCUCUUUAUUUCAUUGUGUUUGUACACCUAAUUUUAACAAAUUGGAGUAGCUAGAUCGAUUGUCCGGUAACUUCCAAUCUACUACUACUGCAAAAGAAAUUUUUUUUUUUGAAAAAAAAAAAAAAAAAAAGAUUCCAUUGUCCGGUUGAGAGGUCAUCCCAUGUAUUGAAGUGUACAUAUACAAUUGAAAGAUUAAUUGUUAUUUUCUUAUUAUUAUUUUUCCGCGACAGCUUUUGCGUCAAAAGUAGCUCCACGCCCAACCCUCUCAGCGCCCGAACGCUUUUGCGUCGAGCAAGAUCCGAACAACAACGACCACCACCUCCACCACCAUCUUCAUCGGCCUGAAAAAUGCCCCAAAUCCUCGAGCACUAAACCCUAAUUCCACUAGCCCCUGCCAACCACCGUCGCCGCGAUAAUGACCAGAUCUUCCCUCCCGGUGGUGCAUCACCAGCCCGACACCUCGUCGUCACCCUCAACAGCAUCGGUCGAGCACGUCCCCCUCAGCCACCACACCAUGGACUCCGCCUCCGCCAUCCUCCUCCACUCCCUCGCCUUCCUCCCCCGCGCCGCCUCCGCCCCUACCAGCUCGUCCUCUGCCGGCCGCGCCGUCGACUCCGCCCUCGCUGCCGAGCUGGGGCUACGCCUCGUCCACGUGGACUCCUCUCGAGCUGAGGAGACCGCUGAAGAG